rnacentral:lncRNA from 1 species
UUUUUUUUUGUUGAAUUCUGUGCUAGUUUUCCCCAGGUACAACUGGAUUAAAAUGUGUAUGCUGCUGUGCAAUACCGAGAAAUACCGGCUGACAUAAUCUCACCGCUACACAAAUACGACCGCACAAUGAGGCGAUCCAGGUGGUUUUGGAGACAACAAAAGGAGGAGCGACUCCCGAUCAUCGACGAUGGUGCUUUCCCGGCGAGAUCCUGUAGUGGGCCAUGAUGGAGACAGAGUCGGUUAAUCCAGAUCAAUUGGCGUGCUGAAAGGCUUAUUAGUCACAUACAAGCCCCGGAUGCGGAAGAUGCGGUGGCGGUGGUGAUGGAAUUGCCGGUGCCACGCACCCAGGGGACACGAUUGUGCUUACGACGAUGAGGAGACAGAGGUACCCGAGGAGGACGAUGGUGACCAGAGUGAGGAUUACACAUCUUCAUGUCGCUCUCCCCAGUUUCCUUGCCGUUCAUAGAGGAUCCAUGCCCUACGCCGUGUUGUCGCCAUGGAGUAGGAGCCACCCCGGCCGACAAUAGCUUCUGGUUGCUGGCCGGGGAGGACUCUGACGGUGGAUUGUCAUCACCGAUUCCAAGUAGGCAUGAGUGCCCCUCUUAAGAAUUUCACGUUCUCCUGCUCAACUUGUGGGUGUGGGGAUUGUAUCUAAGAGGGACAUGUUUCGUAGGAAAAAAUCGCAUGCUUAUAUUGGUUCGUUGUUUGAUUCUCCGAUGAAAGAGGAUCAUACCAAUAGUUAUGCUCUAUCCUCACAUGAUAGUGAUUUGUCUUUCUCUGAAAUUAUGGAUGAUGUUAUUUCAGUAAUUACAAAUUACGAUCAUAGCAAUAGUCAUGUUCUAUCCUCGCAUGAUAGUGAUAGUCUUCUUCUGAUAUUUUGGAUGAUGUUAUUUCAAUAAUUAGAAAUUAUGAUAAUGUGAUUGCUGAUUACAAUAAUAUAUGAAUGUUAGUGAUGGGGAUUCAGUUAAACCGGCUAUGAGCAUGAGAAAAUUUCCAGCUAUCCAUGUCAACUGGACAACAUAUAUGCUUUAUUUUGGGCUUUAUUAUCUAGAUCGUACGACAAUUGAGAUGGGGAAUCUUGAGCGGGACAAGAGUCAAGAACAUGGGUGUAGGCUUUUGCCUUUGGAACCUUCUACUACUAUGUUAAGUUGUGGACUUGUUGGACCGGGCAUUUUUCUUUAUCUUGGAAGCCCUAGGACUCAGUUUAGGGAAGCGCAUCAUGAGAAUACACCGUUUUGAUGCCUUUAGAUAAAUAUAGAUGUGUGUUGGUACCCUAUUUGGAAGGGAUGGGUUUGGACUUCUGUGAUAUGAGGUUAGGGUUCACCCCUAUGUCGUCGGCUCAAGAGGAAAUAUAGAUGACAAGUUCGUAUGGAGGGUGGGUGGGGGGGGGGGACAAGGUAGAUUUUGAUUUAGGGGAAGAUUCAAUAAUCUCUUAAGUUACUAAGCUCCCUAGGAAUGAAGUCUCCUGGUGUAUCGAUCUACUUUUUGCAUUUGUGGCCCCAUGUAUUAGUGAUGGCCUAUCCACACGUGAAUGUAGCGCUCCUGCGCUGCUCGAUAGAUAAUUCUUUAAAUUCAUGAAUAUUUCUGGAAUUUAGGGCUUCUUUUGAAAUCCGGGAGUAUUUCUAAAUUCACAAACGUUUUUAACUUUGGGAAACAUUUUUAAAAUUCAUGAACAUUUUCUAAUUGGCUAAAUUUGCAAACAUUUUUUAAUUUCAUGAAGAUUUUCUUCAAAUCCAUAAACAUUUUAUACAAAUUUUUCUCUACAUUUUUUAGUUUUCGUUUCUCUUUGUUUUUUUCCUUCGCUUCUUCAGAUGGACGUAGGUCCAAUAGGGGAAUUGGCCAACCAACAAAAGUGAGCAUCCUGGUGUGUGCGCAUUUGGUCGUCCUUCGACAUGAUGCGCAUGGGACAGGACAUCUCCGGCAUCUAGGUUAUUUCGUUGCUAGGGAGGGACGGACUGAUUAUCUCCUUCGUGCAUUUGUGGGGGCUGGCACCACCAUGUUGGUUCUGUGCCGAGCAGUGGGGUUACCGCUUUCUCCGCCUUCCUUGUCAGGCUACUUGGUCAGUGAAUUCGCGGUGGAAGACUGACGCCGUGCUAGUGCUAGGGAAGAGCUAGAACAUAAAGACCAGGCAUGGAGAUCCAAGCAUACAUGAGAACAUGCUGGAGAUCCAAUAUAGUUAGGCCUUGUGGUAGUAGAUCUAACAUUAAGGUUGGCAGUCGACUAGGUUGAGAGAUUAGAGUCCUUUUGGGACAAAACUCAAUCCAAGGAGAGUUUUUUUUAGAAAUACCAGUGCAAGGAGAGUAUUUUUAGGAGGCAGGGGCAGAUGUGCUUUUGGUUGUGUGGGGGCAUGCAUCGGUACAUGGGCCUAGGGCCAUGCCUAUAAGUGCCAGCAAAGUAGGGAAGUAAGAGAAAAGGGAGGUCCAUUUCAGUUUAUAUAUGAUCUAAUGGUCAAUUCGUUUUAUAUAGGAUGAGAAUCAGUGAUACACGCUGUCGGAUCCAAAUUCGGUAUAUCUUGGGUAGGGGGUCCCGAGCUGGUGAUCUCGGCUAGAUGGUAACAUGAAGUAGAGGAACGCGGUGUUUACCCAGGUUCGGACCCUUUCGAAGAGGUAAAACCCUACGUCCUGCUUGUAUUGUAUUGAUUGUGGAUGGGGUACAAAGUACAAGAUGAUCUACCUCGAGAUCGUAUGAAUGAUCUAAUCUCCCUCUACAGGCUAAAUCCCUCGGCUUAUAUAGGGGCCGGGGGAUACCUGGGGUUACAUAUGGUCAGUUGCAUCUAGAGAUAAACAUGCCAAAUAUUUCAAUAUGCCUUCAAGUGUACGCCAAGUCUUCAGAGAAUACCACCUUGAGUACGCUGAGGGCAUGGCAUACGUGGCCUAUUCUUUGGUCGUCGGUGGUGAUGAAGCUAUGUACCUAGGGUAGGGUCAUGGACCUGUCCUAACUGCCCUACCCAAGGACAUCUCUAGAAGAAAUCACCUUUCAAUCGACUUGGAGGUGUUCCACUCGACAGACUCGAAGACACUCGACCAAGAAGCAAUCACUCGACCAAGAUCCAAUCACUCGACGGCCAGGAGACCUAAAGCCACUCCGCACGCUAACGGUCGGUCAUUAAGUAGCUUUUAUGGUCAUCAUAGCACUUUAUUUCUAGCGUUACCAGUAACGCCCUGCCUUAAUGUACAUUGAACCCUUCGUAAUGUGGGCUGGCCGGGGUCCUGGCGCACUCUAUAUAAGCCACCCCCUCCUCCGAGACAAGGGUUCGCACCCCUCUAACUCAUACUCUCAUAAUCCAGUCGACCGCCUCCGGGCUCCGAGACGUAGGGCUAUUACUUCCUCCGAGAAGGGCCUGAACUCGUAAACCUUGCGUUCUUACAACUUCUCCAUAGCUAAGAUCUUGCCUCUACGUACUUACCCCCCUACAUCACUGUCAGACUUAGAACCACGACAGUUGGCGCCCACCGUGGGGCAGGUGUUUUAGCGUUUGUUGGAGGAGUUGCGAUCUUUUCCGACCCGAAUCAUCAUGGUUUUCGGCGGAGUUUCGGUGGAGGGCCGCGAGAUCCGUCUCGGCACGCUCACGUUCAUCGUCGACGACUCUGCUUGGCUCCAGGAGGCUCCGCUCGACGUGGACGCACUCCCUGUUCACGGGGCAACGCACUUUAGCGCGUGCGUCCGCGGCGUUCUCCUGCGACAACCGUCGACCCCCUACCAGUCGGCUCCUGUGUUGUCCUCCCUUCCCGUUUCCCGCUGGCGCAAGCGCUCCGGUCGGUCGAGACUUCAGCGGUGGGUGAGACACGUGGUGGCACGUCAGUCGGCCACCCCUCAAGUCGCGGCAAUCGAGCCCGACGAAUCCCUCUACGGCCUGUUCGACCUGUCGACUGGCUCCGCAGAGACCGCAUCCAAGUGCGACAGCAGCGAUCCGGCGGCGGAGGUUCUGAUGGUCGAUGGACCGCCCAGUCCUCCCGGUUUUCCCCGCACUGACGGAGGCGCGGGUGGAGGCGACCCAUCGCGUCUCCAUGAGGAGUAUCUUCCCGAGCCUCUCACGUCACUGCAGAGAGAAGAACUUCGCCGCCGGAACGUGGAUGCACUGCACACUCCUAUCGUUGGAGAAACCCCCGAGGCUCGCACCUUGGAGGACACGCGCUUGGCAAACUUGGCCGAGCGCACUCGACUGGAGAAUCUCCAGCGAGCACUCGACGAGCGUGCGCGAUAACGGGUUCCCGAAUCCAGUCGAUGUCAGCUCUUCCCGCCCCCGUAGGUAUAUCGAACUCCGGUUCAGAAUUUAGCAGCUGCGGCCCGUAUAGCGGAGUCGAUUCAGCCUUCCCAGUCGGAGGCUGGCAGAGACUUGCUGCAGAUCAGAGCGUUACUCCGGGCAGCAGGAGAUCAGAAUUCCGCUGUUUCUCAGUCGCGGAAUAGGAUUCACAGCAGAUCCCUUGCCGCGGACACAGUCCAGUCGGCUCACUGCCCGAGAUCGCCCCCAAGGCGUGAGGGACAUGGAGACUGGCGUGACCAGUAUGGGAACCAUGAGCAGUAUGAUCACCGAGUCGAUCGUGACGGUCGACGUCGAGCGUCCACGCCUUCCCCGAGGAGCGGGUCGUAUGUGCCUCGCCAGCAGGAUGACAGGCGCCCUCAUAGUGGUGGGCGAAGGAUUCCAGUCGACCCCAAAGGGCCAGGCUUUGACGCGAGAUCCAUUCUCGUCCAAGGUUUGGUCGAUAGGAACAGGGCUCACCGAGAAGGUCACGACAGAGAUGCCCCUACCAGCAGCAGAGUACAUGUUUCGGGGCCAGAGUGCUUUAGUAGAGCCAUCAGGGCCGCUGUGAUUCCUCCCAACUUCAGGUUGGCGACUGGAGUCAGUAAGUUCACUGGCGAGUCCAAGCCUGAUACUCGGCUUGAGGACUACCGAGUGGCCGUCCAGAUUGGCGGCGGCAAUGAUGAAGUGGCCAUGAAGCACCUGCCUCUCAUGUUGGAGGGCUCGGCCAGAGCGUGGCUGAACCAGUUAGCACCUAGCAGCAUUUACACUUGGGAAGAUCUCUCCCGAGUGUUCGUCACCACAUUUGAAGGCACAUGCAAGCGACCGGCAGGGCUGACGGAAUUGCGGUCUUGCGUGCAGAAGCCGAAUGAAACUUUGAGGGAUUACAUCCAGAGAUGGAUCACGUUACAUCACUCAGUGGAGAAUGUGCCUGACCACCAAGCAGUUUGUGCCUUCAAGGAAGGCAUCAAGUACGGAGAACUGAAUUUGAAAUUUGGUCGAACCGGAGAUAUGUCCCUGAAUCGGAUGAUGGAGAUUGCCACCAAGUACGCUAAUGGUGAAGAUGAGGAUCGACUCAGGAGUGGCAAGCUCAAGUCAGUCGCCCAAAAAACUGGAGGAAAUUCCAAUCGGAAACAAAAGCGGAAAGCCGAGCUGGCGGCUCCCGGGGAAGCCUUGGCUUUAACCCAAGAAAAGUUUAAAGGGAAACCUAAAGGGCCUUGGAACCCCAAAAAGGUUAAAGACCAGGACGGAAAUGAUGUGUUGGACUUGCCAUGUCUCGUCCACACAAAGAAAGAUGAAGAGGGUAAUUUCAUUUACCCGAAACAUACCACUCGACAGUGUCGACUCUUGAUCCAGCAGUUCCAGGGCAAGCAGCCCAAAGGUAAGGAAAAGGAGUCGGACAAGGUCAAGGACAAAGAAGACAGUGAUGACGGAUACCCUCAGGUCAAUUCCACUCUGAUGAUUUUUGCCGAUGUUGAAAGCAAAAGUCGACUGAAAGUUAUUAACCGAGAGGUGAAUAUGGUCGCUCUGGCGACACCUAGUUACCUGAAAUGGUCUCAGACUGCCAUAACAUUCGACCAGUCCGACCACCCAACGCACAUCGCCACCCCUGGGAGCCAAGCUUUGGUGCUCGACCCAGUUGUUGAAGGCACUCGACUGACCAAAGUCCUGAUGGAUGGUGGCAGCGGUUUGAACAUAUUGUAUGCUGAGACGUUGAAAGGGAUGGGCAUUCUGAUGUCCAGACUUAGUGCCAGCAACAUGAGUUUCCAUGGAGUCAUUCCUGGGAAGAAGGCUGAAUCACUCGGCCAGAUUGCUCUUGAUGUGGUUUUUGGUGAUUCCAAAAAUUACCGCAAAGAAAAAUUGACAUUUGAAGUUGUAGACUUCCAGAGUGCCUACCACGCUAUUUUGGGGAGGCCGGCUUAUGCACGCUUCAUGGCCUGACCAUGUUACGUGUACCUCAAAUUGAAGAUGCCUGGCCCCAAAGGCGUGAUCACUAUUAUGGGUAAUCGGAAGAAAGCGGAAGAAUGUUUUCAGAAAGGUUCGAAGAUCGCUGAUGCUUAGAUGGCAGUGGUGGAGUUGCAGGAAUACCAGAAGACUGCAGACCCGAGUGAUCUGUUGCGAGCCAAGAAGCCCGCUACAGAGUCGGCUUUUCAGUCGACUGGCGAUACGAAGACAGCUCACAUCCACCCGACCGACCCCAGCGCCUCUCCGACUCAUAUCUCGACAACACUCGACUCCAAAUAGGAAGAAGCGCUCAUCCAGUUCCUCCGUGAGAACUGGGACAUUUUUGCAUGGAAGCCUUCUGACAUGCCGGGUGUUCCCAGGGGGCUGGCUAAGCACCGCUUAAGAGUCGACUCAAAAGUAAAACCUGUCAAGGAACAUCUCCGAUGGUCCGCCGUCCAUAAGAGAAAGGCUAUUGGCGAGGAGGUGGCUCGGCUCUUAGCAGCGGAGUUCAUCCGAGAAAUCUACCACUCCGAGUGGCUCGCCAACGUUGUCAUGGUCCCCAAGAAGGACAAGUCACUUCGUAUGUGCAUUGACUUUAAACAUAUCAAUCGGGCCUGCCCGAAAGAUCAUUUUCCUCUCCCCCACAUCAAUCAGAUAGUCGACUCGACUAUGGGAUGUGAGCGACUGUCUUUUUUAGACGCCUAUUCCGGGUACCAUCAGAUUCGUCUGUAUGGACCUGAUGAGAUCAAGACAGCUUUCAUCACUCCAUUCGGGUGCUUCUGUUAUGUUACCAUGCCGUUCGGCCUCAAGAACGCCGGAGCCACAUUCAUGAGGAUGAUUCAGAAGUGUUUACUCACUCAAAUCAGUCGGAAUGUGGAAGCAUACAUGGAUGAUAUUGUGGUCAAGUCUCGGAAGGGUUCCGACCUGCUGACUGACCUUGCUGAAACCUUUGCCAACCUCAGAAGGUAUGAUAUCAAGCUUAAUCCAUCAAAGUGUACAUUCGGAGUUCCUGGCGGAAAAUUACUCAAUUUUCUCGUUUCCGAACGGGGAAUCGACGCCAAUCCAGAAAAAGUUGGUACUAUACUCCGAAUGAAAAGUCAUGUGCAAGUGCACGACGUCCAGAAGCUUACUGGUUGCUUGGCCGCUUUAAGUCGAUUCAUAUCUCGUCUCGGUGAAAAGGCAUUGCCUCUUUACCGAUUGAUGAAGAAGUCCGACAAGUUCGAGUGGACUCCUAAAGCUGAUGCAGCGUUUGCAGAGCUCAAAGCUCUGCUCUCCACCCAGCCGGUGCUUGCUGCCCCAAUCAGCAAGGAUCCUUUGCUGCUUUACAUUGCAGCCACGGGACAAGUCGUCAGUACGGUACUUACGGUCAAGUGGGAAGAAGAAGGGAAAACCUUCAAAGUUCAGCGCCUAGUGUAUUAUAUUUCUGAAGUCUUGACCCCAUCGAAGCAAAGAUAUCCUCAUUAUCAGAAGCUCGUAUAUGGGAUUUAGAUGACCACGAAGAAAGUUGCCCACUACUUCUCUGAUCAUUCCAUUACAGUCGUCAGCGACGCUCCGUUGUCAGAGAUCUUGCAUAACAGGGACACAACUGGUCGAGUGGCAAAAUGGGCGAUUGAAUUCCUUCCUCUAGAUAUCAAGUUUGAGGCAAAGAAAGCUAUCAAGUCCCAGGCAAUCGCGGAUUUCCUCGCCGCGUGGAUUGAAUAGCAACUGCCGACUCAGGUUCACUCGGAGCAUUGGACCAUGUUCUUCGACGGUUCCAAGAUGCUAAAUGGUCCCGGCGCCGGAGUGGUGUUGGUCUCCCCCAGAGGAGAUAAACUCAGAUAUGUUCUUCAAAUCCACUUUGAUUCCUCUAACAACGAGGCAGAAUAUGAAGCACUUUUAUAUGGGUUGCGCAUGGCCAUUUCACUCGGUGUCCAUCGCCUUAUGGUCUAUGGUGACUCAGAUUUGGUGGUUAAUCAAGUGAUGAAGGAAUGGGACGUCAGAAGUCCAGCCAUGACUGAUUAUUGCAAUGCAGUGAGAAAGCUGGAGAAGAAAUUCGAGGGGUUAGAGCUUCAUCACAUACCCCGACUGAAAAAUCAAGCAGCUGAUGAUCUGGCAAAAAUAGGUUCCAAAAGAGAAGCCAUUCCCAGCAAUGUGUUUUUGGAACACAUCCACACACCAUCAGUCCAGGAGGAUCCCUUCACCGAAGAGGCCCCGCAGCCAAAAAGCGCCACGGAUCCGACUGAAGUUGAAAUUCCAACUGUGGUCGACCUGAUCAUGGAAGUCUUGGUUAUCACUCCCAUCUGGACAGAACCGUACAUCGCGUACAUCCUAAGGAAAGAACUCCCAAAAGACGAAGAAGAGGCUCGACAGAUCGUCCGUCGAUCCAAGGCCUUUACAGUCAUAAAGGGACAGUUAUAUAGAGAAAGCGCGACUGGGGUCGACCAGAAGUGUAUUACACCAGAAGAAGGUCAGAUGAUCCUUAAUGAUAUCCACUCGGGGACCUAUGGCCAUCAUGCAUCCUCUCGGACCAUUGUGGCUAAAGCAUACCGAGCGGGGUUCUACUGGCCAAGAGCCAAUGAGAUGGCAAAAGAGAUAGUCGACAAAUGUGAAGGAUGUCAGUAUUACUCCAAUAUGCCGCACAAGCCCGCGUCAGCCCUGAAAACCAUUCCACUCGUCUGGCCCUUCGCUAUUUGGGGGCUGGACAUGGUUGGACCACUGAGAACAGGCAGGAGCAGCUUCACUCAUGUGCUGGUAGUAGUCGACAAGUUCACCAAAUGGACUGAAGCCAAGCCUAUCAAGAAUCUCGAUGCUUGCGCCUCUAUCAGUUUCAUUAGAGAGUUGAUAUUCAGAUAUGGAGUUCCGUACAGCAUCAUCAUGGACAAUGGGUCAAACUUCGAUUCCGACAAAUUCAGGGCCUUUUGCGCCUCUUAGGGCACUCGGGUCGACUAUGCUUCGGUCGCUCACCACCAGUCGAAUGGGCAAGCAGAAAGGGCAAAUGGCCUAAUUCUCAAAGGACUGAAACCCCGAUUGAUGCGCGAUCUCAAGCACGCAGCAGGUGCAUGGGUCGACGAGCUUCCAUCAGUCCUUUGGGUAUUGAGGACAACCCCGGAUCGAUCGACCAGAAGAACCCCAUUCUUUCUGGUCUACGGAGCCGAGGCAGUCUUACCGAGUGACCUGCUUCACAACGCUCCCCGAGUCGAGCUCUACUCUGAAGAUGAAGCAGAACAAGCCCGGCAGGACGCAAUUGACCUCCUAGAAGAAGAAAGAGAAAUGGCCUUGAUUCGAUCGACCAUCUAUCAGCAAGACUUGCGUCGAUUCCAUGCCAGAAACGUGAAGAGCCGAGCCUUCCAAGAAGGAGACUUGGUCCUCCGAGUGGAUCAGCAGAAACCACACAAGCUCACUCCUACUUGGGAAGGCCCCUUCAUAGUCACCAGAGUCCUCCACAAUGGAGCAUACCACCUCUACAAUGUCGAUCGCCAGAUUGACGAGCCAUGAGCCUGGAAUGCGGAGCUACUCCGCCCCUUUUAUACUUGAAUUCUCACUCGGAUGAGAUGUAAUAAGAAAAACUCAUGUAGUUUAUUUAUCAAAGACAAGAGCGUUAUAAUUUUCCCAGUGAUCAUUAUUGUUUUUGUUUGCGUAAGAAAUCCCCCAGUGGUUGGCUUAGCUGCGAAUCCGUUUUGCCUGAGUUUGUAAAAACAGUUUCCUACCGAGUGGCGAGCCAGCCUCCCACUUGGGGGCUUAGCUGCGAAUCCGUUUCGCCUAAGUAUUUAAAAAAUCCUACCGAGUGGAGAGCAAUCCUCCCACUCGGGGGCUUAGCUGCAGUCUAGUACUCGCCUAAGUUCUCUCACUUGGAGACUUAGCUGCAGUCCGGCACUCGCCUAAGUUUGAAAAAAUCCUACCGAGUGGAGAGCAAUCCUCCCACUCGGAGGCUUAGCUGCAGUCCAGUACUCACCUAAGUUCUCUCACUUGAAGACUUAGCUGCCGUCCAGCACUCGCCUAAGUUUGAAAAAAUCCUACCGAGUGGAGAGCAAUCCUCCCACUCGGGGGCUUAGCUGCAGUCCAGUACUCGCCUAAGUUCUCCCACUUAGAGACUUAGCUGCAGUCAGGCACUCGCCUAAGUUUGAAAAAUCCUACCGAGUGGAGAGCAAUCCUCCCACUCGGGGGCUUAGCUGCAGUCCAGUACUCGCCUAAGUUCUCUCACUAGAAGACUUAGCUGCAGUCCGGCACUCGCCUAAGUUUGAAAAAAUCCUACCGAGUGGAGAGCAAUCCUCCCACUCGGGGGCUUAGCUGCAGUCCAGUACUCGCCUAAGUACGAAACACAUCUCAAUCCUCAAGGACGACGAGGGGCAGGUCGACUGCCACCUUCUCCUGGAGAGCUUCCCCACAAAUACAAUGUGCGCUCCGUCCCACUCUGCAGUAACGAGGGGUAGGUCGACUGCCACCUUCUCCUNNNNNNNNNNGAGUGGAGAGCAAUCCUCCCACUCGGGGGCUUAGCUGCAGUCCAGUACUCGCCUAAGUUCUCUCACUUGAGGACUUAGCUGCAGUCAGGCACUCGCCUAAGUAUGAAAAAUCCUACCGAGUGGAAAGCAAUCCUCCCACUCGGGGGCUUAGCCGCAGUCCAGUACUCGCUUAAGUUCCCCCACUUAGAGACUUAGCUGCAGUCCGACACUCGCCUAAGUUUGAAAAAAUCCUACCGAGUGGAGAGAAAUCCUCCCACUCGGGGGCUUAGCUGCAGUCAAGAACUCGCCUAAGUACAAAACACAUCUCAAUCCUCAAGGACGACGAGGGGCAGGUCGACUGCCACCUUCUCCUAGGGAGCUUCGCCACAAAUACAAUGCGCGAUUCAUCCCGCUCUAUAGUAACGAAGUGCGGGUCGACUGCUACCUUCUCCUGGAGAGCUUCGCCACAAAUACAAUGUGCGCUCCGUCCCGCUCUGCAGUAACAAGGUGUGGAUCGACCGCCGCCUUCCCCUGGAGAGCUCCGCCACAAAUACGAUGUGCACUCUGUCGCCGACCUGCAAGGGCGACAAGACAUGGGUCGACUGCUUCCCUCUCCUUCGGAGCUGCGCUGUGAAUACAAAAGUUGUCUCGAAUGAAGAAUGGGUUCACUCAGCAGGAGAUUCAUAAAGAUAUUCAACGGUAAACCAAGUUCAGGUAAAUUCUAAAGGUUCCGGAUCACAGAUCGAAGUACUCGGGCAUGCAGCCCGAAAAAGUUUAACGGUUACAAAAACCACUCGGCAUUCCGAGGCAAAUUUAAGGUGGGACAUAAGAGUUUGUUCACUCCACGGGAGGAGGGCUGGCAGGCUCGACGAACUCAUCUAGGUCGACACCGUCGGCUAUCAGCGAUGAAAGUCUCCAUAAAAGUUCGGAAGUCAUGUUUCUGGGUGUUGGCGACCUUGAUUGCUGCCAGUUUGUCUUGUCGCACCUCCUUGCAGUGGACACGAACCAAAGACAGAGCCACGUCAGUGCCACACCAAGCAGCAGACUUCUUCCACUCCUGCACUCGGUCUGGGAUUUCAUUUAGUCGAGUCAUCAGGGACUCAAGAUCACUUUGGAGCACAGCCUCUGGCCAAAGUGCCGGGUCAAUCCGCGACAUGGCGACCUUCAGUCGAGCCAAGUAGUCCACGUCACUGUCAAUGCGAGAUUCCAGACGGAGCAGAUUCAUGGCAGUUUCAUCUUUCACGGGAGAGUUGAUUGGAUCCAAACCUGGUUCGAUCCGCCCAGUCUCCUCUUCAAAGUUCUGGCAAAACUCUGCAUUCACGAUCCAAGGAUAAGUCAAUUUUUGUACACUGAGUCGACACAAAAAAAUCAGUCAGAACAGAAUGUGCACCUUCAAGCUUGAUGAACAACUUCUUGGCAAGACUCCUUAGAUAGCUCUCCAAAUCAUCCCUCAUGCGAGCAAUGCCUUCCAUUUUGUCGCCCUGAACGAGAUUCGCCUUCUUCCAGGGCGAGCACUCCUUGUUGGAGUCAUUCAGAGCGGUCUUCAGCCUGGUAUUCUCUUCUUCCAACUAGGCGACCAAAGCCAGCUUCUGUUCGGCCAGAGCGGUCCUGUCGUCAGCCUCCUUAUGAGCAGCAGCCAAAUCCUGAUCCUUUUUCGCCAGAGCUUCUCUCAGUUUUUUUGCAAAGAAAUGAUGAUUGAUUCAGAAAUAGCAGAAGGGUGCUCAAGCCUAAAACUGACCAGUCGACAAACUUGUCUUACCAGCGGCGCCGUCUCUGACCUUUUGCAGCUCUGUCUUGGCCAGCUCCAAGUCAAGGUUCAGUUGAAUCUGUUGCCUCUCCAAAUCAGCAAAGUGAGCUCCAAGAUCACAAGAUUUCCGAAAUCAAAGGGGAGAAAUUAUUCCACAGCAAAAAAACGACAAAGACAUUAAGUACUAAGACUACGGUCGACUGCCCGCAGUCCACCAUAGUCUCGGGGACUACACCCAGUGGGUGCACUUUGCAUGCCCCCACUAGUUCUGAUCCCACUCGACCGGCCCGCUGGAGUCGAGUUCAAAAAAAGGGGGGAGAGAAAGUAGAGCUCAGACCACAGUCGACUGCCAGCAGUCGACCGCGGUCUCGGGGACUACACCUAGUGGGUGCACUUUGCAUGCCCCCAUCGGUUCUGAUCCCACUCGACCAGAUCGAGCGGAAGAAACAAACUACCAGUUCGGUUUUUACUCGACAAAAUACAAAGACUACAGUCGACUGCCAGCAGUCCACCGUAGUCUCGGGGACUACACCCAGUGGGUGCACUCAGCGUGCCCCCACUAGUCCAACAUCAAUCGACGCACCCAGUGGGUGUACAGAUGCAAAGAUUUUCGGAAAGAAUCUUCAGAUAGCCGACUAACCUGAACGUUGCUCUGGAGAGCCGAGCUGGCAUCAUAGGCGGCUUGGCUGGCAUCCCGCACCGUCUUCAUCUCCUCCAUCAUAAUGCCCGCUUGGUGUAUGGCUUCCCUAGCAUCAUUCACCUCGUCCUCUGGGACAUGAUGGGUUGCAAAAACUGAAGGCGGGUCGACAGGGGCCUGAGCAGUCGACGAAGAAGGCAAUGCACUCGACAGGGGCAGGGCGAAGGUAACAGAACCCCGAUUGACGUCACCAGUGUCCUGAACGACUGGUUCCACCCUCGGCGUCGACUGUAGCGCCUCGCUUGCAGGAGCUCACCUAUUCUUCCUCGUCAAAGGCCUCUCGGGCUCUUCAUCAUCAUCAGGGAGGUCAAUAAUGUUGGGAGCUGUGCAAAGUUCAAUUACCAAAAUCACGUCACCCAAUGGUGCACAUUGCAGUUGAAUCGACCAAACAAAGACAGUAUGGCAGAAAUCAUACCCGGAUUAGAAGUGACCGCAUCCUCCAUCACCUCAUCAUCAUCCCUGUAACCUGAGGUCCCGGAGAUGGCAGCGCUGACAGUUCUAAAGUUCGUCCAGUUAAAACAAGAAAAACAAACAGCGCGAAGCGUCGAAGUGAAUGCAAAGAGAGAUACUCACGCGGAAGCGACGGGGAUAUCAAUCUUGAUCUUCGGCAACGCCUUCCGAGUCUUCGGCUCUGCAACUUUGGGGUGCUUUGGCGCCUUCUCAGUCGGGGUUGGUGAAGAGAUCCGAGGACGCUUCGAAGACUGACCAGCCUGAGCAGUUGCCUUGUCACGGGCACUCGGCCAUUCUUGGUCAAGCUUGGAUCGCCUCUCCCUGCGAGGAGGCGACUCAACUUCUUCUCCAUCGCUUGAGUCGUCGCUUCCUCCAUCCCCUUCACCGUCGGAAGUCCACUCGCCACUUUCGCCGCCACUCGCCUCGCCUUCCAGGGCUUGCUCUUGCUCCCCGUUGGGCAUUGAAUACAUUUCAAUAAUGGCCUGAAAGAAAGCAAGGAGGACAAAGUCAGUCGACACAAUAUAGGCAGUUGCGCGAGUGAAUUCAGAUUACAAGCAAAAACUCAGAAUCAGACCUUCUCUGGUGCAUGAGACUGGUCAAAUGGAGGAACUCUCCUGGCUCCCCUGGGAUUGUCCUUGUUCCCGGUAAUGCCCGACAGCCACUUCUCCAGUGUGUCAUCGUCGACCUCCUCCGGGUGGAUUCGGGUGGAGUCUUCAAGACCCGAAUACAUCCACAUCGGAUGGUCCCGAGCUUGAAGAGGCCGGAUGCGCCGCUGAAGGAAGACCUCCAAGAGAUCCAUACCAGUGACCCCGUCAUGGAUAAGCUGGACCACUCGAUCGACCAGCACCCUCACCUGCGCCUUCUCCUCCAGGAGCACCUUCAAAGGGGAGGGUUUCCUCACUCGGUCCAUGGUAAAGGGAGGGAGUCCAAUCGACUGCCCUGGCGUCGACUGGUCCUUACAAUAAAACCAGGUCGACUGCCACCCGCGAACUGAGUCAGGAAGAAUCAUGGCCGGAAAGGAGCUUUUUCCCCUCAUCUGGAUACCAAGACCCCCGCACAUCUGGAUCACUUGGGUCCUCUCGUCACUCGGAUUAGCCUUUUUCAUUGUCUGGGAGCGACAGGUGAAAAUAUGCUUGAAAAGACCCCAGUGAGGCCGGCAACCCAGGAAAUUCUCACACAAAGAAAUGAAAGCGGCAAGAUAAACGAUCGUGUUGGGAGUAAAAUGGUGGAGUUGUGCCCCAAAGAAGUUCAGAAAUCCUCAAAAGAAAGGGUGAGGAGGCAAGGAAAACCCACGGUCGACGUGGGUGGCAAGAAAAACGCGCUCACCCUCCCGGGGUUGCGGCUCGGAUUCCUUCCCCGGAAGCCGCGCCGAGUCAUAGGGGAUCAGCCCUCCCUCGGCCAGGUCGUCGAGGUCUUCUUGGGAGAUCUUCAAGUGGAUCCAGUCGCCCUGGAUCUAGCCCUUCGGCAGGCCGGUUCGCGAGGAGGAUCCGCCCCGACCGGUCGCCUUCCCCUUCGACCUCGCUGUCGCCUUCUUUGCCCGCUCCAGAGCUGCCGUCUUCUCCUUCCCCAUCGUCGCCGACGAGAUGCGUAUGGAACGGCGGCGCGAGAGCGAGAGUGGGCACAGCGGAGGAGCGCGAAGAGGAGAAGAGAUAAUCGGAACGCACUGUUCGGGAGACCCCGGUCCAACGCCUUAUAUGAGGCCGCUUCCGAGUGGCUAACUGGUAGGCCCGGGUGGGUCUGUCAAAUCCCGUAACGAUCGCGCGCGCGAUACGUGGCGAAAAAGGUGGCGCAGGGAUCGAGGCGGCUCUGCUCUAUCCCGUCUGAUUACUGCGGCCUCCCCCGUCCCGCGCGCUUCCCAAAAUUCGGAUCCCACGAAAUCCGCGGGUAGCAAACAACUUGUCAGAACAAAGAUCUCCUCUGCACCGUCACUCGGAGCCUUACAAGUAAAGAAACUCACUCGACGAAGAAUUUAGAAUGGAUCAAGGCGACUGAAAAGGAAGUUGCUGUCAUCACUUAGGUUCGUUGAUCCGAAACAAGAUAUGCUCACGGCAUGAAAAACGAGUCGGAGAAGUUCUCAACUCCUUCCCCACUCAAACCUCGAUCCAUUCGGGGGCUAAUGAUGAAGCUAUGUACCUAGGGUAGGGUCAUGGACCUGUCCUAACUGCCCUACCCAAGGACAUCUCUAGAAGAAAUCACCUUUCAAUCGACUUGGAGGUGUUCCACUCGACAGACUCGAAGACACUCGACCAAGAAGCAAUCACUCGACCAAGAUCCAACCACUCGACGGCCAGAAGACCUAAAGUCACUCCGCACGCUAACGGUCGGUCAUUAAGUAGCUUUUAUGGUCAUCAUAGCACUUUAUUUCUAGCGUUACCAGUAACGCCCUGCCUUAAUGUACAUUGAACCCUUCGUAACGUGGGCUGGCCGGGGUCCUGGCGCACUCUAUAUAAGCCACCCCCUCCUUCAAGACAAGGGUUCGCACCCCUGUAACUCAUACUCUCAUAAUCCAGUCAACCGCCUCCGGGCUCCGAGACGUAGGGCUAUUACUUCCUCCGAGAAGGGCCUGAACUCGUAAACCUUGCGUUCUUACAACUUCUCCAUAGCUAAGAUCUUGCCUCUCCGUACUUGCCCCCUACAUCACUGUGAGACUUAGAACCACGACAGGUGGUCCUCAGUCUGGACCAUGAAUGGUAGACCGACAUGGUGAGUACCCCCUAAUCCAGAACACAAUGAGUAGCCCCUGAACUCGUCUUCAAGCCAAGGACCUUGAAUUACUCCUCAUGACAGCUUCAUCUUCUGGCCUUCGGCUUCAUAGGACAGUUCGAUCUUCUAAAUUGGCUUCAUGUCCGAGGACAAGUCGUUUAUGAAUUAUGUUUAUCUUCGACAUUCUCCUUUGCCGUAGCCAUGCGUAAACCCUGGCAAUGAUGCCCACUAGGUGAUUGGGAUGUCUUUUAACAAGGCAACCUUUGAAAAUAGUUAUUCUUAUUGGAUCUAAAGACCCCUUUAGCUUAACGGUGAAGGUUGGAUAUGUGAGAGCAGUGGGCCGAUUGGGUCAUACCCUAACAUCUUUCGCCCGAAAACUGAACCGCAACCACUUAGUGUGGAACCGAGAGGUCCUAUCAACAGUCAUUACACCGAAUUUACCAUGUAAAAGUUUAUUUCAAAAGAGUGAAACAUAUUUCAUUAUCUUGAAAUCUUUUGAAUAAAAUGAUUUCAAUUAGUUUUACAAUUUGACAUUUCAGUUUUGUAAUUUUUUUUUCAAUUUCAGACGCUACAUUUCACUUUGCACUAGCUUAUUUCACAAAAAUCAUAUAUAUUUCAAUUGCAUACCUCUGAAAUGACAUAUUUCACUCUUUUGAAAUAAAUUUUUACACAUUUUAAACCAGUUUCACAUAUUGACAUUACAUUUCACUUUUCACUGGCUUGUUUCACGAAAAUCACAUCUAUUUCAAUUGCACAUUUUGUAAAAACAUAUUUCACUUUUUUUUGAAAUAAACGGUUACACAUUUAAAAAAAAUCAGUUCACAUGUUGACAUUACAUUUCACUUUCCGCUGACUUGUUUCACAAAAAUCACAUCUAUUUCAAUUACAAAUUUUAUAAUAAGAUAUUUCACUCUUUUGAAAUAAAGUGUUACACAUUACCGAAUAAUCUGUUUCACAUGUUGACAUUACAGUUCAUUUUUCACUCACUAGUUUCACAAAAGUACAUCUAUUUCAAUUGCACGUUUUUGUAAAAAUAUAUUUCACUCUUUUGAAAUAAACUGUUACACAUUUAAAAAAAUCAAUUUCACAUGUUCAUAUUACAUUUCACUUUCCACCGACUUGUUCAAAAAAUAAUCAAAAAUGACAUUUCGGAAAAAACAUAUUUCACUUUUUUCAAACUUGUCAAAAUGCAUCCAAGAUUGAUCUUGUUCUAAAGGUCUUUGCGCCAGAACUUCAAAUAUAUAAAAAGUUUCAAAAACAACUUUAUAAUUUAGAAAAUAUGAAUGAUUUAAAUUUUCUAUGAUUAAAGAAAGUCUGUGGAUUUGUUUGGGAGAGAGCGAAGUGAUGUGGCAUGCAUACAACAGUGAUAAAAAUAGUACCAUGGGACCCAUCAAACUGACAGACUAAAAGAAUAUACAGAAACCGGGCCAGACUAUACAUCGAGUAUACAACGAGGUGGUCCAGGGAAAGCACGAAUCGCGGAGCGAGCAUGCGGCCCAAGAUCUAACGGUAUUCACCGUUAAAACCUCUCCCAAUGCAUUGAUGCUAAAGUGGGGUGUUAAGUGCAUUAAGAUGCUUAGCAACUAAUGCCCUUAAUGCAUCGGUGCUUAGCUUUUAUAGCUAAGCCUCUUUUAUUUAAUUGUUUAAUAAUAAAACUCCUUCAUGUAUUGGUUGAUAUUCUUUUUGCCUAGGUCCACGUGCUUAGCAUUGGUUCUUAUUAGGGUCAUUAUAAUGCUCUCUCUUCUUUUUAAUUGCUUUGCCACAUUAUAUUUUUGUCUAUAUGACACCCUUAGCACCUGUACACCGUGGAGCAUUGGGAAAGGCCUAAGAGCAUCUCCAGCCGUUGGCCCCCCAGAGGGCGCCUAAAAUCGCCGCCUGGGGGCUAGCCGGCGCAAAAAAAGGGCCUGUGGGCGAGUUGGUCCCCAGUCGCCGGCCCCAGGGCCGCCCUCAGACGCCUCUAAUUUUUUCAAAAAAAAAGGUUUGGCGAAGUUCAGUUAAACAUGACUAAAUUUCGGCAAAGUUUGGCAUAUAUUAGACAUGUUCGCGACGCGGUACAUAGCAAAUAUAAACUAAAAAAAGAAAUCGCUGAACGCUGAGUAGUCGCCGCCAUCCUCGCCGCCGUCGUCGUCGUCGGCCUUCUCCUCCUUGAUGCGGUGGUCCCUGCUGGACCCCUGCCCGGCGACGCCAUGGCGGACUGGUGGCGGCGGCGGUGGCGCGUCAUCGUCGUCGUCGCUGUCUUCGAGGACGGCGACUCCUCCUUCGUCACGACCCCGACGGCGCUGCUCAAAGCGCCGCAGGGGCGGCGCACUAGCGCUCCCUCUCCAUCCUCAGGAAGUCCUCGUGCGCCCAUUUCAGGGCCGCAUCGUCGUCGAGCUCCCCGCCGCCGUGCUUCGUCUUCACGGCGGGGAGCCCCGGCUCCGUUUUCACCGGCGCGAGUUCCGGCUCCGUCUUUGACAUGACGACACGCGGAGGAUCCGACGAGGAGGCGCGCCGGCACUACAAGAAAUAUGUCAACUAGUGACCUUCCGUCAGUGACCCUGGAAGAAUUGAUCAUAGAUCUAUGACCAUUUGAGACCAAUUGGUCAAAAACUGUUCGGGGGCUCCAAACCCUAAAUCAUUGCGACCAUUUUGGUCAAAAAGGUCGUAAUUUCCUUACACGAAAUGAUCAUAAAGCAGACAGCGCUAGUCCGCUGCCUUAUUUCUAGUUGUUAACGACCAAUAUAGAUGGUCAUAACCUUGUAAAUUGUGGUGGGUUGCUAUGACAAGGUGCCACCUCAUCAGUUUUUCCUAUGUGUCAUGUCCAUGUGGCAGUUUUUGCCCUAGGUUGUGAAGCAACCUAUAUUUAUUUUAUUCCAAAAAUUCCUAAAAAAAUCUCAUAAAUUGUUUGGAUCAUAUCUUCAUCAAAUAUGUCAAAAACCUUCCUUUCCUACUUCAAAAAUAUUUCAACAAUAUUCAUUUUCCUAUUCUGUUCAGAGCAGCACUUUGUGAAGGAAGUACCACUUUGGCAUGUCCAAAUACUAUCCAUUUUCUACAGUGCUUUCCUAUGCCCAAAUAACCAUCCUCCACCAAAUGCCAGUUUAAUCCAUUCAUUAUUUUGAACCCAGCUUUAACAUUCGUAUUUAUGUCCAGUGUGGUACUUUGCAAAGCAAGUACCACCUAAGCUCCUUCUUUUGAGCUGAAAUUUUUUGAAGACAGUCUUCUUAGUAACUGAUCAUCCUCAGCCAAAACUCACGCCCAUUUGCCAUGUACAUUUCCCAUACCGCUAAUCAAACACUUGGCUGCUAAUUCAUGUUUGAGCAUCGAUCGGUCUCCUCGUGAGAAUAUUAUGUUGUAAUUUUCUUCCUAGCACCUACCUGGGGAGUGCCCAACUAACUAGACACUAGAAGAACGCCCGUGCGUUGCAACGGGGCCACAUUAACUCUAAGAGUUCAAUAUUACGACAUUGGCGACCUAUUUAACCAUCAAAUCCUCACACACACAGACACACACUCUCCCUCCCUCUUCCUCACUCUCUAUCCUCCUCUCCCUCUCUCUCUAACACACACACACAUAUUCAUCUUAUUGGGUACGGGACCAUAAUCCAUCUAUUUCACACAUACACGCUAGUGCAUAACAAUAUGGAUUAUGUGUAUUAUAUUUGCCACCAGAACUGAGGAAAUUAAUUUCAUGUAAAUCGACCAGCCACGGCUCCAAGAAUACGCGGACGAGGUGGCUCGGGUCGAUGUCGGCGCCGUCUAGCGCGGGCCACGGGCCCGCUUCCAAGUGCACGUGCAAUGCACGUCUUCACAAAUAUUAUAACCAGAUGUGAGAAAUCACAUGCAUAGAAAAGACAUUCUGAUAGCAAUCCAAAUACCAUACUCAAUUGAAUACCUAACCUGGACAAUACUCUUAUUUCUAUGCGCCAGAAAAAAUGGAAUAGCAAAGCUAAGUAUGCCUACAUACGCUCAGAUUAUAUAUAAGAAUCUUGGGUGAACAAUUGCAACAAAGCACUAAGCAGCGAUAAAUUUAAAUAAAAGAUCCAUUAACUAUGCAGGCAGCAGGCUUGUUACAACAUAGAGAGAUAGGAAAAUGUCACCUCCAGUAAUGUAGCGCAAAGGAGUGGAACGAAGCAUGAAUGAGCGGUUGUCUGUUCUUCUCCAUGUACAUGGCUCAGCAGUAGAGGCCAAGUAUAUAAGUACUUGACUGAACUCCACUCUUCGUGUACGGAGAGCCAUGUCACCUUCUCACCACUGCAGCAUGGGAGGACGGCUGGUUCACGUGACCCUCCACCUGGGGGAUCCAUGGUGGCUGACCGUCGAGCUCGAGGUAGAGAAGUUGAGGGCAGCAGUGGCGAGAUCCAUGCCGGCCAACCGGGCGAAGAGGAGGUCGUCGGGGAGGGACACAUCAGCAAGAUCUGGUCACCACAUGACCUGAAGAGCAACAGUGAUCUCCACAAGUUGUAGGCCGACGGCGUGCUCCAUCCCCUGUGAUGGGGUGACCAUGGUGGUGGCCACAACUCCUCAUGCUCGCCUCGAUCUCGGUGACACACCCUGAGUGUAGGAGGCAGCAACGACCUCGACGAAAUCAUGGCCUCCAUCUCGGAAUGCAUGAAGGACCUCGUCCCCGUCGCUACUCCUCCCGCCGUAGCCGCACGCGGCAGUGGACUGUGGGUAGGAGGGCAGGCGGCGUCGCCUCGGCUGACGGCAGGGAGCAGCGUUGAUUUCGGGUAGGUGGCAUCGCGAGGACGGCCGCGGCCGUGGGGAAGCACCCCGAUCAUGCUGCCAGGACAAUCCUUCUCCUCCGAUCCCCUAUCCCCGAAGAUUGCGCCGCCGCCCCGGUCGUGUUGUUUCCAUAUGGCAUUUUUUCCUAUACCUAAACAAACGCGGGCGAGCGGAUGGCAGAGUUUUGGUCCGCCCUCUAAAAUUGCUAAACGCACUUUUAGUGAGGAUUAUUGUUAAUAAAUGAAUUCAAUCAUGUCGCUCUAAAUAAAUGGAUUCAAUCAUGUGACUCCAAUUACUUCGGAUUGUUAUGUGCACACUAAGCGGGUUGCAGUUAGGAAAGAAAAUGUUUUCUAAUUAAAGUGAUUGAGUGAUUUAAGGUAAGGUUAAUUAAUUUAGAUUUGAUUUUUAGUGAUUGUUAGUAAAGUAUAAUGCGUUUUUAAAAUCUUUUAUUUGUUUCCUUAAAAUCUAUUAUUUGUUUCCUAAAGAAAUUUGCAAUAAUGGAAGGUAUCGGUUGAUUUGGAUAAGUUAGUAAAUUUAGAUCCGUGAUUGCGUGCACAUUUGCAAAGUGCUGAUUUGCAAGGAAAGAGCUGAGAGGUAAAUAAACCGGUGAAUAAGAAACCAACAUCGAAAAAAAUCUACGAUGGUUAACCUACGAAAAAAAACCGGACGAAAGUGGUGGGACGAAAAAAAACCUGGAAGAGAGACUACCAACUGCUCCAUUAGGAGUAGAGAUUCCUAGGCCGCCCAGAACACAUGGCACUGCCACGGUCACACGGUGACCACGUGGCGGGCAUGCGAGUUUACGCGCUCUAGAGUUGGGGCCCUCGGCCACCGCCCAAACCUCGACGUAUCGCCACCAAACCAUGUAUUUAUGAUUAAAUAGGUACUUAUGUAACUAGAAAUGAUUUUUUGAAAAAAUAAAUAGCAAACUAUGAGGUAGCUGUAGUUCAAAUUUGACCCGCUUCCAACUGAAUCGGCGGAAAUUUGUCUUUUUGACGAGAGGUGGAUCAAAACUUUUUACACCCAACCAUUUUGUCAAUUGUGCAUUAAAUAUGUCCUAGUAUUUUAGAAAAUUGAUUUGGUCCAAUUUUGCAACAAUUAUUUGGGAGGUCCUUCACAAAAAAACCUCCUUUGGGGCACUCGAAAAACGGAAAAUGGUUUUUUCGUCCAAAGAAAAUGAAAACUUCCUUAGGCAAUAUUGUUUGCCAUUCCAAUAUGCACCCUUGUGCAUAAUAUGAGAUUAUUUGAACAAACUAUGUCAUGAAUGUGGCCAUAAGAUUGAUCAUUUGGCUUGAAAGCCAUUGAUCUCCACACGUGAUAGCUCGUUUCUGAAAACAUUUUUUUUAAAUAAUUGCCGUAUUAAAAUUUUGUUAUUUUUCCUGGGAACCUAGCCACAUAUAAUUACACAAUGCGAAGGUUUCCCAAUUUUUUGUUUUUUUGAAUUUUUUAUGCCCGUUUCAAAAUGCGGUCAAAACGGCGGGAAUGACCAUUCCUAGCUAGUGGUUGAAUCUUGCAAAACUUUUGAUGUUUCUCUGAUUAAAUAGGUACUUAUGUAACUAGAAAUGAUUUUUGGAAAAAAUAAAUAGCAAACUAUGAGGUAGCUGCAGUUCAAAUUUGACCCGCUUCCAUCUGAAUCGGCGGAAAUUUGUCUUUUUGACGAGCGAUGGAUCAAAACUUUUUACACCCAACCAUUUUGUCAAUUGUGCAUUAAAUAUGUCCUAGUAUUUUAGAAAAUUGAUUUGGUCCAAUUUUGCAACAAUUAUUUGGGAGGUCCUUCACAAAAAAAACCUCUUUUUGGGCACUCGAAAAAUGGAAAAUGGUUUUUUCAUCCAAAGAAAAUGAAAACUUCCUUAGGCAACAUUGUUUGCCAUUCCAAUAUGAACCCUUGUGCAUAAUAUGAUAUCAUUUGAACAAACUAUGCCAUGAAUGUGGCCAUAAGAUUGAUCAUUUGGCUUGAAAGCCAUUGAUCUCCACACGUGAUAGCUCGUUUUUGAAAACAUUUUUAAAAUAAUUGUCAUAUUAAAAGUUUGUUAUUUUUCCUGGGAACCUGGCCACAUAUAAUGACACAAUGCGAAGGUUUUCCAAUUUUUUGAUUUUUUUGAAUUUUUUAUGCCCGUUUCAAAAUGCGGUCAAAAUGGCGGGAAUGACCAUUCCUAGCUAGUGGUUGAAUCUUGCAAAACUUUUGAUGUUUCUCUGAUUAAAUAGAUACUUAUGUACCUAGAAAUGAUCUUUGGAAAAAAUAAAGAGCAAACUAUGAGGCAGCUCCAGUUCAAAUUUGACCCGCUUUCUGCUGAAUCGGCAGAAAUUUGUCUUUUUCACCAGAGGUGGAUCAAAUUUUUUGACACCCAACCAUUUGGUCAAUUGUGCAUUGAAUAUGGCCUAGUAUUUUAGAAAAUUGAUUUCGUCCAAUUUUGCAACAAAUAUAUGGUAGGUCCUUCACAAAAAAACUCAUUUUGGGCACUCGGAAAAUGGAAAAUGAAUUUUCCGUGCAAAGAAAAUGAAAACUCCCUUAGGCAACAUUGUUUGGAAUUCCAAGAUGCACCCUUGUGCACAAUAUGAGAUCAUUUGAACAAACUAUGCCAUGAAUGUGGCCAUAAGAUUGAUCAUUUGGCUUGAAAACCCCGAAUCUUCAUGCGUGAUAGCUCAUUUUUUAGAACAUUUUUUUAAAUAAUUGCCAUAUUACAUGUUUAUUAUUUUUCCUGGAAACUUGGUCACAUAUGAUGACACAAUGCGAAGGUUUUCAAAUUUUUUGAUUUUUUUGAAUUUUUUAUGCCCGUUUCAAAAUGCGGUCAAAACGGCGGGCUUGACCGUUCCUAGCUAGUGGUUGAAUCUUGGAAAUUUUUUGAUGUUUCUCUGAUUAAAUAGAUACUUAUGUACCUAGAAAUGAUUUUUGGGGAAAAUAAAUAGCAAAUAUGAGGCAACUACAGUUCAAAUUUGACCCGCUUCCUGCUGAAUCGGCGGAAAUUUAUCUUUUUCACCAGAGAUGGAUCAAAGCUUUUGACACCCAACCAUUUUGUCAAUUGUACAUUAAAUAUGGCCUAGUAUUUUAUAAAAUUGAUUUGGUACAAUUUUUCCACAAAUAUAUAAUAGGUAUUUUACAAAAAAACUCAUUUUGGACGCUUGAAAAAUGAAAAAUGAUUUAAAAAAACUCAUUUCUCCUAACUCUUUUAAAAGAUAUUUGUCUUAUUUCGAUUUGUCAUUAUUCCUGAAAACUAAGGUCAAAUUUGAUGAUACAUGAGAAGGUAUUCUAUUUUUAUUUUUAUUUUUCAUGUCAUAAAAUAGCCAAUAUGAUUUAGCACCUUAUUAUUAUGACCAAUUUAGAUGGUCAAAAUGUGAUACUUGUAUACUGCGUUCUGAUUGGUUUAGGAGCAUCUCACGCAGAUCGUGCCUAAUCACCGUUGGAUGCUCUUGGAUCCAACGGCCCGCCUGUCUCACCCAUGUCGCCCAACCCACAACACGCACUCCUCACACGCACCCAACCACCGCCCCUCUCUCUCGCGAGAAAAUUACAUCUACAAUAACUGAACUUGACUCUAGGGUUCACUUUGGUCACUGUAUUCACGAAAUCGCAAGUUACGGUCACCGGGCUCGCUGAACCGGGUCACUAUACGUAACCCAUACCGUUUCGGCUCGUAUCGGCCCGAUUUGACCAGAAACCCGCUUUGACUCGCCAGCUGGACAUGACACGUCGAGGGUUUCUUCAUCCUCUCCCCUCCCCUGUCGAUUCCCCUCUCGUUCCCCUCAUCUGACUGCUAAAUCCCUAGUGCAAUCUCUCAUCCCCUCCACUGUCGCUUGGAUCCAACAGUUGCAUCCUCUGCUCCCAUGUCCGGCGCGGGUAACUCAUCGGGGGCCGGUGCGGGUUGGCUUCCUUUGAUCCAAUGCCCUGAUUGCAAGAUUCGCCAGAUUAGGCGGUUUGAGUCGACCACUAAAAAGCAUCCUGGAUGGAUCUUGUACAAGUGUAUGAAUCAUAAGGUUAGCACAAGAACAUUGACUGGAUGUUGUUCUUCUUAAUUUGAUUUUAAGAUUUGUUCUUGAUUUGAUUUUGAGAUUUGUUCUUGAUUUUGUCAAAUAGGCAGGGAAGAAACCUUGCAACUUUUGGCACUGGGAAGCUAGUUACAUUGAUUAUUUGAAGGUAAAUGGACAUCUUAGAGGUGAAUCUGUGGAUAGUAAAGUAGUAGAGAUGAAGAAAAAGAAGAACACGACAGAAGUGGAUCCUGAAGAUAUGAUGAAGAUGCUGCUGCUGCUAAAAUCACUUCCAGGAGAUGUUACAGACUUGGUUGUUAUAAUGAAGAUAGUAGUUGUACUGCUAUUUGCAAUUCUCUUUGUGUUAGUGUUAGUUCUAGUUAGGAUGUGAUUGCUGUCAAUGUUGGCAAUUGCUAAGUAAGAAGGAGACUUUUGUGUUGUUUGAUGUCAGUGUUAAUAGAAACCUUUGUGUGGAGACAACUUUGCUGUUGGAAAUUGGAGAAGUGGAAAAUGUUUCUUCCUUUACUGAACAUGCAUUUAAUAACAUGUUGAACACUGACAAGAAGGAAUAAGACUGAAAUUUAAAAAUUUGCAGUUGAUAACACAGAACAGUACUGAACUGAACAUGCAUUUUACUGUUGAACAAAUGAAGAACAUGAAUUUGAUAACACCAUUUCUUUAGCAUAACAGAAACUGGUCAUUCAUAGCUCCUUGAUAACACACAUAAGUAUUUGAAAAGCAUACGGUACUGAAGAGAAAAUUACAUCUACAGUAACUAAACUUGUCUUAACAUCUAGAAAUUGCAAAAUACUUCAUCCAUUACAUUAAAUGGUCAUUCAGGACCUGAAUUCAUCAAACAUGUUAACUUUCUUGUGCUUAUUUGCUGCAACAGCUGCUUUCUUUUGCAGUGCAAUAAUUUUCUUUGCUUCCGCUGCUGCUUUCUUCUCUUCUGCAGCCCUCUUCUUUGCCUCCAUUAGUUCUUGUUUUUUAGCUGCUGCUGCAAGCUUCUUGGCCUCAAGUUCUUGCUCUCUCUUUUUUCUUGCCUCUGCUUUCAAAGCUUCUUUUUCUUGAGCUUUUUUGGCCUUUUCAGCUUGUUUCUUGGCAAGGGAUUCACCUGCUUUUUGAAAAGCAGCAGCUUCCCUUUGUGCUAGGAUUUCAGCACACCUCUUUUCAUGCAAUAUUUCAUUGGCUUGCUGCUUGGCCUCCCUCAUCACUUCAACUCUAGAUGCAAGAUUUCCUAAUCUUGUUGCAGUGCUGCUACCUAUAGAUGGCAUUGCAGCUCUAGCUUCUUUGAGGAAAGAGCUUUCAGGCAAUGGUGUUGGCACCUUUCUUUUCCUUGGUUUAGGAGCCUGUAAAAGUAGUGAAACAUGAGAUGUAUUUCACAUCAAGAUCAUAUUUUUAACAAGGUUCAAUGGAUAUACCUCAUUUCUCAUGAUUUCCAUCAUUGAAUGUGGAUGAAGAGCUCCAAUUGGAGGCAUGUCAUGUUCCUGUGUGACAACAGGCUCCUCACUUGCCUGUGUCAUUGAUGGUCCAGGUGCUUGUUCUUGUGUUGUAGCCUACACAUUUGCAACAAGGUUAAAUGAAUGUAUCGAGCACUAAAAUAUUUGCCAGAAGCUAGAAUGGAUGCAUCGAGCACUGAAAUAUUAGCCACAAGCUAAAAUGGAUAUAUCGAGCACUGAAAUAUUUGCAAAUGUUACCUGUGACAGAGUAGGUUCUUGUUCUUCUUCUUCAAAUGUGGCUCUUGGCCUCUUCCUCAUUUGCUUCUGCAUAGGUUUUGCUGCAGGUAGGCCUUGCUUGAAGGCAGAGCACCCUUUCUUAUUAUGUCCAGGAUUGUUGCAAUGGCUGCAAUGAAUAAUUGUGCCAUGUCUUGUAAUCUUUUUCCCUCCUUUCUUUGCUAUUACCUCCUCUGGUUGCAUUCUCCUAUUCUUGGCCUUUCUCCCUAGUUUCUUCUCAUACAAAGGAGGCUUAAUUACACAACCACCCAUUUUCUACCACUCCCUCCUGUCUUUGCAAGGCAUAAUAAUGUAAGCAUAUGCUUUGGAGAAAUUGCAAAGAUCAUAACACUUGUGCACCAUUUCCUCAGGAUCAAUUAGUUCAUCUCUAUAGCAAGCUAUCGAGUGGGGGCAGGGAAUGCCAGUUAAUUGCCACCUUCUGCAUGUGCAUGCCUUGAACUGCAACUCCACAAUGUACUCCCUACCAUGUGAAGAAACUUGGAAGAUUCCCUCUCCAGCAUUAGUAGGGUAACAACUAUUAGACCAUUCUAUGUGCUUUAGAAGCCUUUUCUUGAUCUUUGGGCAGAUUCGACCAUUAAAUUUCUUAGCCUCUUGCUGCUUAUUAUAAUGUCUGCUUGAAAGUUGUGACUUGAUUCUAUCAAUCAUGCUGAUGAUUGGCAAGUCUCUAGCCUCCAAAAUAUAUCUACAAGUAUUUGAAGAGAUAACACAUACUUAAUUCAUUAUGAAGAGAGAACACAUAGCAAUUACAUGAACAAUUGAAGAACACAUAGCAAGUACAUGGACACAUAAAUGUACCACUUACUUAUUGAAAACCUCACAAUUGUUGUUUAGUAAAAUAUCACAUUUUGGCAAAUCGGUCUGGAAUGCCCUAACCCAAGUGUUAGGCCUCUUCUCUGCAAGCCAAGCAUGAGCCUCACUAUCAAGAAGUCUCAUCUCUUCCAUAUAUUCUUCAUACUGAUCAGUUGUGGUGCACCUAGCUAUCUUCCAGAGCUGGUUUUUCAGAACAUCUCCUCUAUAUUUCUCUCUGAAAUUCUGCCAAAGGUGCCUGACACAGAAUCUGUGUUCUGAGUCAUGAAAAUGCUCUACAACAUUUGUUAGGCCCUGCAAGUUUUGUAAGUUAGUCAGUAAGUAAGUGAAUAUCAGACAUGACAGUAUGUAUGUAAGUAACUAUGUACAUAUCUUUACCUUUUGCUUAUCAGACAUGACAGUCCAUGCUGAGGUGUUCUGAAUCCCAAGAUCGUGUUUCAGUGUUCUCAUAAACCAGCUCCAAGUGUUAGUAUCUUCAACAUCUACAAUGCAGUGUGCCACAGGAUAGAUACAAUCAUUAGGAUCCAUGCCAACUGCAGACAGAAGCACACCUCCAUACUUAGUUUUCAAAUGACAUCCAUCAAAACAAAUUAUGGGCCUACACCCUGCAAGGAAUCCUCUUUUACAUGCAUCAAAACUGAAGUAACAUCUGUUGAACCUUGAUUCAUUGUCCAAUUGAAUGAAAAAUGUGCUGCCAGGGUUGGAUCUUCUAACUUCAUUUGCAUAAUCCCAAAGCAUGUUGUACUGUGCCUCCUCAUCUCCAUGGAUUAUCUUCAAUGCAUAUCUCCUUGCUCUGCUUAGUUUACUACAAGAAGCUGCCAUAUUCUAGUCCUUUUGAACUAACCUCCCAAAAUUUCUCAAAUUCAUUCCUUGAUCUACCCUGAAGUGCUCCAAGUACUUUUCUGCAAGAUAUCUAGAAGUAAAUGCCUUUACUUUCCACUUCUUAGAACAUUUGUGUUCAUCAUUAUAACUCUUGAUGACCAUGCAGUUUGUUCUGCUAUCAUAACUACACCAAAUGUUCUAGGGGCAGUGGGACUGACAUUUUGCUGAAAUUAUUUUCCUGUCAUUUACUGGCAAUUUGAUGUCAAAUCUAUUUUUGCAAGCAUAUUCUCUCACUGCUUUUCUAAACAAUUCUGGUGACUGGAAAACUUGUCCAAUUUUGAAUUGUGGAUUAUGCAAAUCUUCCUUCCUAAAGCUUUUAAAUUUGUACUUUGCACCUGCUUCAUCAUCAGAAUCUAGGAGCUCAAGGUCUUCUUCAUCUGAUCCUUGUACAGGGUCUGACUUUGCUCUAAUAUGAACAUCAGUAGGCUCCUCCACUGUCUCCUCUUUAAGAUCAUCAUCUAAAUCAAUGACAUUAUAAUCACUAUCUACAAUCUCAUCAGCAUGGUCUGAUCCUUGUUCACUCCCAUUUACUUCAGCAUCAGAAACUGACCCUUCACUGUCAUAUGCAACAGAGCCAUCCUCUUCACCCUGCUCCACAUCUUCCUCCUCAUUUGCAACUGCUUCUUCUGCUGCUUGCUCUGCAACUGCUUCUUCUGCUACUUGCCCUGCAACUGCUUCUUCUGCAGAAUUUGUUCCUUCUGGUUCUUGCUCUGCAAGUGCUUCUUCUGCAGCUUGUUCUGCAGCUUCUUCUUCUGCUAGGUCUGCAUCAUCUGCAAUGGUGACAUGAGUGACAAACGUACACUGCAUUUUUUCCACUGCUUCCUCCUUAAUUUUCCUAUCCAAUAAAUCCUGCUGAAUCUUCUUCUUAUGCUUCUCUAGUGCUUCCUCCUUAAUGAUCUAAAUUGGUUUGAUAGGACUAACAACAGUAGGCAGGUCUGCUACAGGAAACUCUAUCACAUCAUCCCAGUCAAACUGCCUGAAACUCUCAUCAUGAUCAAGAUACAUUUGCAAAAACUUAUGCCCAAAUGUUACAUGUGCCCUCAUGUUAAGACAAUUGUCAUUGCAAGUUAUCUUCACAAGACCACCUUCAGUCAUUGGCUUACCAGGCAUGCAGUAAUACAUUUGCAAUCUCCCCUUCACUUCAUAGCCCAAUUCUUCUACCAGAUCUUCUAACUUCUCGACAGUAAGUGUAUCCCCCUCCACAUAAUCAUACCACAUGUUUUCUCCAUUGACAUAUGCACGAUUUUUACCAACUCCAAGGAAAUAACCACCAAAAUUGAUGCAAAGACUGAAGUUUGAUAAGUAGUCAAUUUCAUCUGCAGAUUUACAUAAAACCCUAGAUUAACUGCCUAAAAUCCAUAGCAGAACGGAAACCCUAGCAGUAACAUCAAAAUCUGAAGGCAAAUAAGAGCGUGCAACCACCUAAUCGACCUCAAAUCGAUUAGAUUCAGAGAGAAAAGGGGGGUUUUACAGAGGUUCAGGGAGAAAACAGGGGUUUACCAUACACAGGUGGUGGGUCUCCUUCUGCUCGGCGACGAGGCGCCAUGGUUCAAGUCGUCGAUGAACCCUCUGGCCGCCGUCGCUCCGUCGAUGGAUGCCUCCGCCAGCGGCGACGAAACCCUAGCCGAUCAGCACCGCGAUCGCUUCCCCUUUCCUUUCUCUUCUCCUCUGCCUCGGAGGCGUCGAUGAAAAGGUGAAGCGUCUCGACUGAACAGGGGGGGGGGAAUGCAAAAUAGCUCGGUCGCUGCUCGCUUCUUUAAGUUUUGUCGACGUGUCAUGUCCAGCUGGCGAGUCAAAGCGGGUUUCUGGUCAAAUCGGGCCGAUACGAGCCGAAACGGUAUGGGUUACCGUAUAGUGACCCGGUUCAGCGAGCCCGGUGACCGUAACUUGCGAUUUCGUGAAUACAGUGACCAAAGUGGACCCUAGAGUCAAGUUCAGUUACUGUAGAUGUAAUUUUCUCCUCUCUCGCGUGCGUGAACCCCACCCAACCCCUCGUGCCCUCCUCUCUCUCUCUCUCGAACCCUAGCGCCCCACUCCUCCCUGGCCGCCGCCACCUCCGGCGCCCUCUGUCCGGCGAGAUCCACGACUCCUCCUCCUCUCUGGAUCGAUCCCCUCCAACCCACGACUCCACGACUCCUCCUCCUCCUCUCUGGAUCGAUCCGCAACCGCUUCCAACCCAGCAGCCGCCACCGCAGACCUCCCCCAAUCCCGGCCUCCUCCACGCCGAUUCGAGCAACACUCCCCACUUCCAGACCAAACCCUAGCCUGAGACCCCUUCCUCCUCGAUGGCCAACCCCUCCAUGGUGGCCGGCAGCGAGGUGUCGUUGGCGGAGGGGGUCCGUGCCGUUGGGGGCCAGAUCCGCAACCGCUUCCGCGUGGCGCCCGUCGACCGCGUGGCUGCGGCCCUAGCGAUGCCAUGGUAGCAUCUGCCCUGGCGGCAUUGGCCAACGAGAAACUGCAAGAUCCUCGACGCUGUGGGCACCACCACAGCGGCGCUAAGCACCACCGAUGCCGAUGGGGUCCAACGAGGCGGACAAGCCGCUACGGCGGAUCGACGCGUCGUUCGAGCAGCUCGCGGCCAUCGCCAAGCAGCAGCAGGAGCCCGUGAUGGCGGCGGGGGACUUCUCACGCGCCUGCUCCAACGUCUCCGUCCUCUUCUGCUGCCUCGGCAUCGCCUUCAAGUUUGUGGAGAUGGACUACGUAGCCAAGGCAAGCGGCCGCUCCUUCGCCCCCUCUCCUCCCCCGCUACCUGCUCUGCUGUUCGGUAUGCUACUUCGUUGUGCUUGUACUGUAUGUGGUAAAAUUUCUGGUGAUUCCUUCCUGGGACAUUGGUUUAGUUGUGUGAAGCUGAGAGGUUUGGGAUGAAAUGACCCCAAAAUUCUCAACCGGAUCGAGUUGGUGAGUUCUGUUUGAGUUUACUUUUGAUUGGUAUACGCUGCAUAGCUGCGUGCCAUCCACGUGGGAAGGUAAUUGUGUUGAUCCACUUUAGUUUGAGGCUAGGAGGUUUGGGUGAAAUGAUCUGUCGAAUUCUGAACUGGAUCAAGCAGCAAUAAUUGGUUGUUUCAUCAGGAUCGGACUAUCUAAUUCUGCUACUGUGUGUCAAAAGUAGAAUGGCAAUCUCAAUUUUCCAGUAUGACCUUAUAACAGUUUGGAAUGAUCUGUUUUGAUUUAUGAACACUUACUAGCCGUAGUAGUCAGUGCUUAGUUCUGUAUGGUGGUCGUUGCUUCGUUGAAUUGCUUGGCAUUGCUGUAGCCCUAGUAGCCAGUGCUACUGUUUCCACAAUCAAUGCUUACGGCCACUGCACACAGUCUAUUUUAAUCCUUAGCAUCCACUUCAUAUUCUUCUAGUACUGAUAUUUUUCUCUGAAUUCAUAAUUUUUCACAGAGAAGCUGCAACCUGCAGAACGCAAGAAAGGGCUGAUGUGUGUUGCAUCCUCGCCAUUUCUGGACAUCAAGGUUGGACAGACCUACCAGAUGUCCUGCUUCAUUCGAUUGUUGCUCUGUUGGGCUCCUUCUCUGACCUUCUUUCCUUCGCGGUCUGCAAGUUCUUGUCAUCAUCCUGUGUGAGCUGCCAACAGCUCAUCCAUCCCACCAACCCCGAUAAUUUUUAUAUAUGCUUGCUAUGGGUUUCCAUUCAAAGUUAUAAGGUCGUUAACUGCUAUCUUAUUCAGUUUUUUUCUUCCCUGUAUCUGUCAAGCUUAGUCAUGUUUACACACGGCUUCAAUAAAUGGCAUUGUAUAUGUUUUUCUCAGUAAAUGCAAGACAUUGUAUUCAACACUAAUCCCCUAAGUAUGCCAUGAGCAUGUGAAUAGCUCAAUCCUGUUGUCUUUGUGCUUAGUGCUUACUGCCUAGGUGUUCUCAGUUUACAAAGGGUUUUGGGAGUACUUGCCUGUUGCAAAUGCAUGGGCCUGUUGUUAGAUGCAUGAGUCUGACACUCCAGUGAUUUCUAACUUAGACACUUGUAUUUAUGCAACUUUACCAACAAUUUUGUUUGCAACGGCAUUAUGCACAUGAGGCAGGACUAUACAAGUGAAUUGUCAUAGUAAGAUCCUUCCAUGGAUUUCAUGUGGCUCCUUGAGUUGUAAGAUGCAGCUCCAACAUUGAAUAUAUUUUGAAUGUUUCCAAAGAUACUCUCUGUUACGUUUACUUCAAUAUAUACAUGCAUGUUACUGAUAGAAGCUGGCUGCAGGAAUCAGUACACAUAUAUACUGGAAUAUUAGUUUUUUAAUGGGGGGAAUAUAGUGUAUUAGAUGAUGUAAAUUUGUUUGGGUUCAGACCUAUGCUUCCUCCACUGUUUUGUAGAGUUGGCUAAUUUUAGAUGCUGCAUAAUAACCUUUAAGGCUGUGGCCAAUUUUAGAUUCUGUAUAAUAAUCUUUGUACUGCAUAAUAAAAAAUUGCAGUACCGAAGAUGAAUGGUUGAUUAGUUUUAGCUUCAAGCCAUUUUAGUAUAUUCUUUGUACAUGUGGCCUGUGGCUAUAACUAGUUUGCUAUAGUUCAUCCGUGAUGUCUGGUAUCUAUGAGAUCUGAGGGAUGCCGACCAUUCGAGCCACGUGACUUAUUCAACUUUCAGUCUACAAUCUUGCUAAUUUAAAGUCAGUGGGGGGCUUUCCCCCACUGUCCAUAGUUCCUAAAAAAACUUAUUCAUCUUUGGCCAUCCUCAUUUGCUAUGCUAGGUAUAGUGUAAACUCUCUUCCGAAUUUGAUUUGUACCAGUUUGACUUUCCUAAGUUUCUUUUCUUGUUAGCAGAGCUUACACUAUCUUUCUAUAGGCGCCGCCGGAUUCGAGGGUGGAGCCUGAGCCUCCACUGGAGCAUGGAUCAGCCGUGCAGGAGGUGGAGCUCCGCAUGGAUCACGACUUGGUCGUCAUGGGGGCCUGGACCGUCAAGCUCGCGGGCGAGAUGGACGGCCUCGGCAAUAGAGACGCGCGUGAGAUCCUGGGGUUGACCAAUCCAUGGGGCACCAGAUCUUCUCUCGGGGUCGCCUGCUGUAGUCAUACUGUCGCUGGAUCUCCUCCCCCUCUCUCUCUAUGUUUUUCUGCCAAUAGCUAGUAGCAUACGUUGGAGCUGGCUGUACCUGUAACUUAAUCUGCAUUUAUUUAACUAGAUCAAGUACAAGUACAUUAGUUCGUAAUCUGUUAUUAAUACAUCUCCUAGUCAUAAAUUUCCUGAAGUAGUGCAUGUAUAUAUUUAGGUGCUGGUUAAUUAGAAAAUGGAUGUGAUUUCUAACUUGAUUGUUGUAGGCUACAAGAUAUAUCUCUGUUGGUUCAUCUUGCUGUAGAAUAUGCCCCUGUUCAUUCAUUUAUGUGUAUUGCUAUUUACCUCUGGUGACAUGUGUGAAGCACUCAUCUAUAUGUUUAUAUUUUGAGCAGCUGGGUACAACUACAGUUGCAGAAUCAUCUAGCCAAAUUUUGGGAGGAUGGCAUAAAAGAUUAGAUAACCCAUGCUUUUGAAAUCAUGGUAAGCUUUACAAGCUUAUAAGGUCACUACUAGGAAAAGGCCUACUAGUGGCGCACCAGUUUUGCCUACUAAUGGCGCACUACUGGUGCGCCACUAGUAUCACGCCACUAGUAUUAUAUACUAAUGGCGCACCACGCCGUGUGCCAUUAGUAUAGACCAACAUGCGCCAUUAGUAUGCCUUCUAGGGGGCCAUAUUUACCCAUGAGCUUUGGCAUACUAAUGGCACACUGUGGGGUGAUGCGCCAUUAGUAUGAAUAUUAGGGUUUUUUUACUUUUCUGAUUUUUGCACAUGUUACAAAAUAUAUUAUUGGAUAGAAUAUAGACAGCACCACACAGCAAGAACAGAUUCAUCGAAUACAAUAGAAGAUUAGUCUCCGAAUACAAUUCAUCAUAUUAGUCUCCAAAUUCAAAAGACCAAACAAAGAUAGAACAUUAGAAGUCACGAGACCGCGAGUAGCGAGUUUGUCGGAAGUAAUACUAAUCCUAACAAGUCCUACUAAUCAUCAUCAUACAACUUCUACUCCUUAUUAAUAACAAGUCAUACGAUCAUCAUUUUGAUAGUCAUCGAACCAACCCUACUUAAUUGUUCUUAGCACAUGAUCAUCAGUAUUAGGCAUGACCUAAAUACCCUAUUUAAGGUAAAACAGCAUAAAACAAUAUAGACCCUGACUCUCCAUUAUGAAGAAUGGAGAUCAUCAUGUCUCCAAUUCUUGCACUUCGCUUCCUUUUGCUUCCAAGAACCUCCUUACGACUGUCCAUACAUUUUUUCCAUCCUUUGAUUUUCAUGUCUCCACUUCUUUUAGAAAUCUCGUAUGGACAGUUGAGAUUCGUAGGAUGACCUGGCUGUAUGUUCAAAACAUUAAGACUACCUUUCUGAUACAUCAAAUGAGGCACACAAUUCUCUGGGAUUAUCUGUUGAAAAACAUAGUAAUAACUUCAUAGUUAGCAAUGAUGCACUAGUUUUAGAAGUAUGCAAAAGAUGCACGGAUGUCGUAAUAGUAAAAAAUCUUACCAGGGUAUCUCCAUGGUAGUUAUCAUAGUUGAACACAUGCACUAGUGGCACGUAUUGACCAUAAUGUUGAGGAGUUUGAUUGUAGAUAUUGUAAUUCUCAAUGUCAGUACAAAAUCCGACCAGAUGAUUUUUCUCCUUGUAAGUUGUUAAUUCAGAGCCAUCGGUGUAGUGGGUUUUGUCUACCAUCUUCCGCACAUUCUUUGAACAAUAAAAAUAAGCUGUCAAUGGAAAUAAGCUGUCAACUAUUUUGAAAUAAACAAUAUAUAUUAGUUAAUAAUUAACUAUGUUUGAGAAACUCACAUAGCGGUAGAACUGGAGGCGUAUCAACAAGGACCCAAAUGUCCAUAUUGUCUUGGUCGAUGUCAGGAUCACCAAGAUCCAUGGUGACAAGCAUACCCUCAUCAAAACCAUACAUCUUGCAAAAUGAUUUCCAAUUUUUGCAACCAAAAUGGGUUACGCUCUCAGAAUUAUACAGAUUUACUUCAAAAUCCACAUCGUGAUGAGUCCUUAGGUGAAUUUUCUUUGUUUCAGAAAUUUCAUGGUCUUCAAAAUCCAUCCUCUCCAAGACAUAGCGUCUUGCAUGGCAUGGGAUAAGCUAUACUCGAAUUGUAAAAGAUGAAAAUUACACGUUGAAAUAUUUAAAGUCAUGCUUAAUUAUGAAAAUAACACUUGUCAUCGUUGUGUACCGUUUCAACUUCAAAGGUCUCCUCGAGUUUAAUGCUGAAGCGCCGAUCAUCGUCCAGGUGAGGCAUGUCACACAGACCUCGAUCGUCGUGGCACCAGGCGCACUCCCCCUGGAUACUUUCGUCGUCCGAUGAUGACAUAUCCUAUAUUCAUAAUUCAAAACUACAUCAUCUCUUGCGUUGCGUUAGGUGAAUAUUGUUAGUCAUGCACACUUGUGCAUUUUCAGCCAGGCCCAGUGGAGUUGGCCUAAAAACAUUUCUUUCUUUAGGCCCGCUACAUCCAUCUCAAGUAUUUAUGGUCAAGGAUUAGAAGGGCCAUCCAAAUAAAAUAUGUAUAACACAAGAGGCAGUUGAUCCUAUUUAAUUAAGUACUAAGAUACCCCGACCCAUGCAUUAGUAGUAAGUACCCCAUAUGUCCAAUUUUUAGCAAAGUCAUGCUAAAAUUCACGGAAAAUUUCAGCAUGACCUUUGCUGAAAAUAGGACAUAUGGAGUACCCGAAUUUGCCGGAACGGAAGUUAAUCGACAUUCCGGCAAACUCAAGGGCCUCUCAGGGUACCUGCAAAAUCAUCACAACACGAUGGUCAGAGACAAAACCCAGCAAACUCAAGGGCCUCUACUUUCAUAUGGAUGAAAAGGCCACAGACCAUAUGGUCCUCUGCUUUCAUAUGGACAAAAAUCAGCUCAACUUGUGUGAGAUUUCAUUCCAGAUCUAAUAGGUCACCCAACAAAAAAUCAUCAAUAGUUUUAGCUAAAAAAAUCAUGGAUUGCUGUUAACUGAAAAUUAGUGAAAGAAACUGUUGCUGAUCAUGGAUUACUGUUAAUUAAAAAUAGAGCAGCUGGCUUGUCUUAUCAUGUUCACUAAGUCCACAAAAAUGAAUAGGUUUAGUAAACUUAAACUCUGAGCAAGUGUACUGCUUAUUGUUAAGAUUCGAGCUUCUUUUCGAUAACUAUAACACAACAGUUUUUACGAUCUGGGCAGGUUUGGUAGCAUCACAAUUUGUUGACUUUAGCAUGCCAAUCUGUACUUACAACAUAAAAUUAAUUGCUUGCAAACUUAAAAUAGAAGUUAGCUGCCUCUUGGAGAAAGUAAAAUGGAGAUACAACUUUCUAAGCUCUUGUUAGUCGAGUCCUUCUUUUGCGGGGUCUUGUUAGCCUAGUUAGAUAGGUAGGACUAAGCAUUUUGAUCAUAGGAUUGUGAAAAGAUUGUUUCCGUUGAGAGAUGAUCUUUACUAUGCCACUAGAAAUAUUAUGUCUCCCUGAAAUAGUGUGUUAGUUGUUAGGUCUAGCCAUGUUGAUUAUUUUCUGAAGCAGGUUUCAUGCCAAAGAAUAUCCAGCAUUUGAUAAGGAAUCGUCCCCUUACAAUUUGGGAUAUUGCCAGACUGGUAUGAUUUAGUCAUAUGCAUAUGAAGUCUUAAUCUAAAUUUUCCUUGCAUUGUGCGCUUGCAUUUUAUUUAAAAAUUCACUAUCUUGAUAGAAUCUGAUGUGUCGUAUGACGACUCUAUGAAUCUGAUGCCAGAUGGAACUAUUUACCAAGACAUGAUACACGACUAUGUUCAGAUUGUAAGGACAAUAUAUGAAGGUUUGAUUUGUCAUUGUACCUGUCACUGACACAAACACUUACUAAAAAAAUCAAAACCUAACUGUUCUCUGAAUAAUCGUUCAUGGGCAGGGGAACAAUAUGUGUGGUGCUAAAAUCAUUCAUGGGCAGGGAAUGGGGAGGAAGGGUGGAGAGGGAGGAAGGAGGAAGGAGGAGAGGUACCUGGGCGGGCGCGGCCGGUCGCCGGAGGGGUCGGGGUCGCGGUCGGCGGCGGCGGCGUCGAAGGGAUGCAGGGAUGCCUCGGUUGGUCGUGGGGAGGCCGGCGGCCGCGGUCGUCGUCCUGCACCCCGUGCCCGGGCUGAGGUAGAGGCGGCGCAGUGCAGGGGCCGACACGGGGAGGCUGUCGGCGACGGGGGCGACGUGGUUGGGGCGGCGACGCAGUGGGUCGGCGGCGAGGACCGAGACGGCAAGGCGGGGCGCGGGGGUUGUCGGAGCGGGUGUGGAGCGAGGGGGGGAAGUGGAGGGAGGGAUGAAGGGAUCGGGCGAAUUAUCUAGGGGGAAGAUUACUAAUGGCGCACCCCCUGGCGGUGCCCCAUUAGCUAGGGGAAAAAACUUAGUAAUGGCGAGCCAUUACUAGUUUUAACUAGUAAUGGCGCACUGUCUAUAUGAUGCGCCAUUAGUAUGUUUGGAAAAAUGAAAAAAAAAUUGUUACUAGUGGCGCACCAUGUAUCUGGUGUGCCAUUAGUGUCUUCCACACUAAUGGCGCACCUGCACAUGGUGCGCCACUGCUAUAUUGUAGUGGCGCACCACAUGUCAGGUGCGCCAUUAGUAUCCAUUUUAUCUGUAGCCAUUUUCCUAAUAGUGGGUGUUUUCUAUUUUCAAGCGACUUUACAUCAAGUUACUGUUUCUUAACAGAAAUUCUACACUGGGUAGCUUUUUCUUGUUCUCUCCACUUAUUUGAACAACCAAGGAUACUUACUUAACUGUAUAGCUCUUUAUUGUUCUUUUCCUGGUAUUCUAUUUAUGCUCCAUUCUGAAAUCUAUUGUGCACUGCCAAGUCCAUGAGGCGAAGUGCUCACUGCUCGACUAUUUCUUUACUGAACUGGGAGCAACAAAGGCAAGAUAUUCGAAACAAGCUGAAGUCCUUUUGAUUCUUGAUUUCUAGCAUACACAUGCAACCUGAUUGGUGAUGUUACUGUAGAUAUGAUGUAGAUUCAAUGCUUACAAUUUUUUGAUGUGAUGCAUGUUACCUUUUGAAAUAUGAAGAUGCAUGUAAGCACUGUUGCUAGCAAUCUGGCAUAUCAUAACAGUCUUACCCCUUGUUUUGUCACUAGCAUACAUUACAGUUUUAGAUAAAAGGGGGGCAUAUCAUUUGCUCUAAAAUGGAUUGUUUAUUAAUUUAUUUGGACUUGCACACAUUAGGUAAGGAAGAAUCGCCAAUCUGGGUGUUUAAAUGAUAGUAAAACCUAGGGCUCUUGCACGGUUCUUGGAUUUAUUUUUAGCAUAUAUUACCCAUAUCGAGACUGAACAUGUGGCUUUUCUUGUCAUCUAUAGGAGAGUUAUGUGCUGAUUUUUUUGAAGAAGCUGGAAGUCCAAGUCAACGACUUGCUUUAUAUGUUUGUUGUAAUGCCGUAUUUUCUGGGAAUUUGGAUGUAUUGUUGAUCUUGCUGAGAAUUUGGUGUAUAUUUGCUUGCUGAACUUACUGUUCAAAUGCUAGGAUAUAUGUACAAAUCGUUGGAAUAUUAUUCUAUGUUUACUUGAAAUGUAUUCUUGGAUUGAAAGUGGUCAAAAAGAGAAUAUAUUGGUAUUGAAUUUGGGUUGAUUCUAUGUCUGUGAUGUAAAUUGUAUUUGAAAUAAAGAGGCGUGGCCCAAAUUAAAAACUGGCCGAAAUGUCUAUUGGACCAAAUGAAAAAUUAGUGGAAAUGGCUACAACCCAAAAAGAAUGGAUCGCAAAGAGGCCAAGGCCCAAAAAUUGGAUCGCAAAAAUGCCAAGGCCCCAAAAUUAAAUGCACUGUAAAAAUCGUGAGGCCCAAAUUUGAAAUGGAUCGCAAAAAGACCGGAUUGCUGGGCUAGCCCAUGUAGCUAGCAAAAAUUAAUAGGAAAAUAAAUAUUAAAAAGGCUGAAUUAAUGGGCUCGGCCCAUAUAAACACCGAAUUGGACCGGGCUGAUUUUUGUGCCACAUUAGAUUGUCACGUCGGAUGCCUACGUGGCCUGGGGAGGCUGCUAGUGACCAAAACAAAACAGUAGGCAUAUUUUGGUCGUAAACGUCUAUGACCUUCUCACAGAGAAGGUCGUUAAUUUCAGUUUAUGACCGCCAGCUUUUGACCAUCUAUUUUUGGUCACAAAAAGGUCACAAAUGGAAAAUAAUGACCAUUCAGUGACCAAUAGUCAAGGUCACAAGUUGACAUAUUUCUUAUAGUGCGGCCGCCCUUAUUGAUGACGAAGCCGGCGCUGCGAGUGCGCCGGCCGAGCGGCGUCUCCGCUGCGAGCUCGGCCUUGACGCCGAGCAGCGCCGGAGAGCCGGAGGAGUGGGAGGAAGAACGCGAGGAGGAGUGCGAGGAGGAGCCGAAUCUCCUGGGCAUCCAUUGCUUGGCACGUCAGCGGUGGGCGGGGGCGGCUGCCGGCGGAGGGUAUGCCAGCGGCGGGUUGUUGCCGCCCUCAAGGUGCGCCAGCACGCCCUCGAGCGUGCGGCCGGGGACGCCCCACCACACGCGCGCCCCUCGCUGUUCUUCGUGUCGCCCACCACCGGCGCCCCGUUGGUGGACGUCAGCCUCUGCUCUGACGGCGCUCGAAGUACGUCGCCCACGUCGCGUGGUUGUCGGCGGCGUACUGGGGGAGGGCGAGCUGCUCGUCGAUGAGGGAGGCGCGUACGAUCUCGACCUCGACGACGAAGUAGGAGGCGCACGCCAAGCAACGGGGGAAUGGGCACUCCCCCAUUGCUGAGCCUCCACCCCGUCGGCCCGGCGCGCAUGUCUGGCGGCGCCGGGAUGUUGGCCUCGAACGGGAGCCACGACUCCUGCUCGCGGAGCGAGCGGCGGCCGAAGCCGUUGGCCGUCGCCUCGUCGCCGGGGAAACGUUCAGCCAUCGGGGCUGUCGGUGGGGGAGGGAGAGGGAGGGCUCGGCGGCAGCGAACGGGAGAGGGGGAGAACUCGACGGCUAGGGCUGGUGUGGCCAGAGGCGAGGCAGGCCACCGGCUUAUAUAGCCGUGCCCGUGUGUACGCGUGCGCGGGAGGGAAGGCGUCGCCGCGCCGCCCGUGAGGAAUCAAUGGCAAGGCUAACCGGCGGCGGCCGCGCGGCAGCCUUGGCAUUGAUUCUGCGAGAAUCGAGGCGAUGAGGGCGAUGAAGCGCCCGUCUCGCUGACUCAAUGGGCCCGCGGCUUUUUCGUGCCAAAACAACUCGCCCCGGCGCCCCCGGGCGCCCCCAGCGCGCCGGGUUCGGCCUGGGUCCGCCGACGCUGAUUUCGGCUCAGGCCAGCGAAAAUUGGACUCCUAGGGGCGUGACCGGGCAGUUUUUUUGGCGCCGGCGCGAAAAAAUUGUCUGGGAGACCUUUCUGGAACGCGGCUGGAGAUGCUUUAAGGCGCAAAGUGUCUCUGGUUUAAGAUUCGUGAAAUGGUCACUCGUCCACACAACGUACAAAAUGCUGCCACUGCGCGUUAAGAUUCGUGACCAUGAUCCAACAAAUUUGACCUGAAGCCAAAUGAAAAUCAGUCGGCAGAUUUUUAGCAGAUCUGUAGAUCUAAAACCGGAGACAAUACACUAUUUCAUUAUAGCCGAAAAUAUUAAGAGUCUCUGGUUUUCAAUAUUUUGCGUUAUACAAAAAAAGAUAAAAUAUACAAUAUGUAUGAAAAUAAUAUUCAUCAUAUAUUGAUUUUUUUAAACGUGUAUAAAAGAUGUUGAUCAUGUAUUUAAAAAAACAUUAAAUGUGUAUAAAUAAAUGUUGAUCACCGUCGAGCAUUUUUAAUGUAAAUAAUAUUUUUACACACAACAUACAUUAUUCAUAUACAUCAAAAACAUUUUUAUGUACAUGUUUAACAUUUUUUAAGUACAUAAUUAACAUUUUUAAAAAUAUAUGUUUUUGUGACUAAUUUUAUUUAAUUUAUGUUGUAUAUCUUUUGUGUACAUCAAUACUAUUUCUUAUACAUGUUUAACAUUUUGAAAAUACAUGAUCAAAUUUUUUUUCAUUAAAGAAAGACAGAGAAAACCAACGAAAACUAAAAAAGAAAUAAAAAAUUCAAAAGAAAAACCAAACGAAGCCACCUAAAAAAGAAUGGAAAAUAGCAAAAACCGAGAAAGAAACAAAUGAAAAUAAGAUACAAAAAGAAACCCGAAGAAGAAGAAGAGCAGAGAAAGAAAAGAAAAAAAACUAAAGAAAGAUGAAGAAACCCGCUGAAGAAACAAGAAAAACCAAAAUAUAACAAAGAUAGAAAGAAAAACCAAAGAAAAUCAAUUAAGAAACAAAGAAAACUGAAGUACAAUUCUCUUACAUAGAUCGCCAAAACCUCCCUACUCUACGUAUCUAGUGCACUGAGCACCGUAUGAGAUUUCUCCUUUACUUUCGCACACUGCGCACCCUCCCACGCUUCCUUUACUAUCCCAUCACAGCCAUCCUCCAGCAACCAUCUCGCCUCAAAACGCAACAGCCGCUGGCCCCUAGCUGCUCUCCAGACUCUCGGGCUACCAUCCCUCAUCAACACCACGGGACGGUGAUCGGAAUGGCGGGGGUCCCCAUUCACAAUCUUAUAAGCUGGAAAACGCUGGCACCACUCCGGAGUCGCCACUACCCGGUCCAAACACUCACGAAUAUACCCAUCAACACGGUAGUUUUUAUUCCUCCAAGUAAAAACAUCUCCCUCGAAUCCGAGGUCAUGAAGAUUACAAAAGUCUAGAGCAUCACGAAAAUUUUGCAUGUAUCUAUGAGCACGUGGCACACCACCUUGCUUCUCAUGACUAAAUAAGACUUCAUUAAAGUCCCCCAUACAAACCCAUGGAAGAUUAAUCUGGUUUUGAAGCGUACGAAGAAGCCGCCAAGUCUCGACCUUCCUUUUACUGUGUGACUCCCCGUAAAUCCCUGUUAAACGCCACUUGAAACCAUCUUCUUCCUCCACCACCGCAUCUGGAGGAGGUCAGGAGAACUGGAGGAGGUCAGGAAGCUACCACUGUCGGAGAGUCAACUGAGGAGGGAGCAAACUCUCUGUUUCAAAUUGGAGAAGUUAGAGGAGCAAGAAGACCUUGUGUGGAGGCAGCGAGCGCAUGCUAAUUGGCUCGUCAAUGGUGACCAGAAUACUCGGUACUUUUAGGCGUAUGCUUCGGAGAGGAAAAAGAAUAAUACUAUCAAGAAGCUGAAGCGUGAGGAUGGGGUGGUGGUGGAAGAUGAAGAAGGAAUGAAGGCCCAUAUUACUAACUAUUUUUCCUCCUUGUUUACCCCCAUGGCAGGUGCAGAUGCUCCGGAUAUUCUAUCUCGUAUAGCACCAAAGGUGACUGACCAGAUGAACGAAUUCCUCUCUGCGGAGUUCACACGGGAAGAAGUAAAGAUGGCUCUUGACGAUUUUGGUGACUUAAAGGCUCCUGGCGGGGAUGACUCUCAACAGUGUUCUAUAAGCAUUAUUGGCAGUUGAUUGGUGAUGAUGUGGUGCGCGAGGUGUUACAGGUGUUGCGUGGCGGCAGUAUGCCGGAGGGAUGGAACGACACUCUUGUAGUGCUAAUCCCAAAGGUGCAGAACCCAGAAAUGCUAAAGGAUCUUCGCCCUAUUAGCCUAUGCAACAUCGUAUACAAACUGGUGUCCAAGGUCAUCGCCAACAGGCUGAAGUGUAUAUUGGGUGAAAUUAUAUCACCUAAUCAGAGUGUGUUCAUGCCGGGUCGUCUUAUUUCGGAUAACACUAUUUUGGCCUACGAAAUGACACAUUUUCUGAAAAGGAAGAGAACGGGGAAGAAAUCUUAUGCUGCCUUAAAACUUGACAUGAGCAAAGCCUAUGACCGGGCAGAGUGGUCGUUCCUUGAGAAAGUUAUGUUGCAAUUGGGGUUUACCCAAGAUUUUGUGGGGCUGAUCAGCAAGUGCAUUCGGACGGUGAAAUAUAGAUUUAAGGUAAAUGGUGCUUGCACGUACCAAGUGAUUCCGGGGAGAGGUCUUCGUCAGGGCGAUCCAAUUUCGCCGUAUUUGUUCCUCUUGUGUGCAGAGGGACUUUCGGCAUUACUUCAACAUGCCGAAGACAUGAACCAGAUCAAGGGAAUUAAACUAGCUCCGGGAGCCCCCUCUGUCAGUCACCUUCUUUUCGCCGAUGACUCACUGCUGCUGUUUGAAGCCACACCGAAUAGUGUUUAGACGAUCAACCACAUACUGCGGGUUUAUGAGCUGGGGUCCGGCCAAGUGAUAAAUAGGGAUAAAUCUGCAGUGUUAUUCAGCAAAAACACUCCUCACCGCCUGAAAGCCUAACUCCUGGCUCUGUUAGGCUUGCGCUCUGAAUGUUUGCAAGGCAAGUAUCUAGGCCUGUCGAGCUAUGUUGGGCAGUCCAGGCAAAGGUGCUUUGAGUACCUCCGGGAGAAGAUUUGGGAUAUCCUGAAGGGUUGGAAAAUUAAGCUUCUCUCAAAGGCUGGCAAGGAGGUCUUAAUCAAAGCUGUUAUCCAAGCUGUCCCUACGUACGCCAUGUCCUGUUUUGACCUUACAAAAGCUCUGUGUGACAGUAUCAGCCAAAUGGUGUGCAAAUUCUGGUGGGCAAAUCAGGAAGAAGAGGACAGACAUCAUUGGGUGGGUUGGGAAAGAAUGACACUGCCAAAGGAACAGGGUGGUUUGGGUUUUCGCGAUCUGCACGCGUUCAAUAUUGCCAUGCUAGCACGUCAAGUGUGGCGCCUAAUCCAGGUUCCUGAGUCCUUAUGUGCACGUGUUCUACAAGCUAAGUAUUUCCCCCACGGUGAUGUGCUUAAAGCUGAAGCUAGUCCAGGCAUGAGUUAUGUGUGGCGCAGUCUUCUACAAGGCGUCCAAGUCAUCAAGGCUGGUAUGAUAUGGAGGGUGGGUUCGAAUGAAAGGAUAAACAUGUGGGAGGACCCAUGGCUUCCCUCAAAUGACACCCUCCGGCCACGAACCCUUCAAGGUGCACACUUGUUGACUAGGGUGUCCGAGCUCAUCGAUCCAAUUUCGAGUUGGUGGGAUAAGGAAUUGGUCCAGCAAACUUUCAUUCCAGAUGAUGUGAAGACUAUUCUGAGUAUCCCAAUCUACGACCAAUUCGAGGAUUUUGUGGCUUGGCACUUUGAUAAGAAAGGCCUUUUCUCGGUCAGAUCAGCCUACAGGGUUUAUGUGCAUCUGUUGAAGCAGGAAAAAACGCGCCAAAGGGGUGCUAGCUCGACCAGUUAGGAGGAUAAAUCACGGUUUUGGCAAGCUCUCUGGAAGACACCUUGCCCCCCUAGGGUCCAUCACUUCAUGUGGAGAUUUGCUCUAAAUAGCCAUCCUCUCCUCCGUAAUGUCGAAAGACUUGGCGUGGAGCUAGAUGUCCUGUGUCCACUAUGCCAUCGUCAGGCUGAAGAUGGGGGCCAUCUAUUCCUGCGCUGCAAGGAGGUCAAGAUCAGGUGGCGUUACUGCGGUCUUGAGUAUACCAGGCAACAACUCCUGCUAUGUGACACCCCUUCUGAAGUGCUAGCAGCGGUUUUCAAGCUUCCCGAGGAAAUUAAGUUGCGUACAAUCUGCCUGCUAUGGGCCUGGUGGUCGGAGCGCAAUAAUGCAAACCAUCAGAAGAGACGCCUCGACGCAGAGGGCUUUAGUGCUCGAGUGGGAUAUCUGAUGAAGGAGUGGAUGGAGUUCUUGGUCGGCAAGGAGAAACGAGCCCCUACCCCAACCCCAUCUCCCAAAUGGAUUUCUCCCCCGCCGAAUACAAUUAAGAUUAACGUAGAUGCGUGGUUCCAGCCUGACAAAGGAGAGGGAGGAUGGGGUCUAGUAGCGCGGGACAACUCUGGAGAGUUUAUUUUGGCAGCAGCAGGUAGGCUUCUGAACCUGAGUAGCGCGCUACAUGGGGAGGCUGAAGCGUUAUUGAAGGCCAUCCAGAAUGCUGAAUCACUUGGGAUGGGACGUGUGCACUAUGAGACUGAUUGCCAGACUCUCCAGCUUGCCAUGAAUGACACAACUCAGGACCAUAGUGCUCUUGGUGUGCUCUUCCGUGAAGCCAAGUACCUCCUGCAGUUGGGCUUUAUUGAUCAAAAAGUCUUGUUUUGUCCUAGAGCAUGUAAUCUCCCGACUCAUUUGAUUGCUGUUGUAGGUUCGAAUGCUGAACCAGGGAGCCAGCUUGUGUGGCAUUCAAACCCACCGUUUAAUGUAACCCGUGCUAUGGCCGCCGAUUUGGUCGGUCCAGUGUAACUAAGGAAUGCAAGACGUUUCUUUCAAAAAAAAAAGAAAACUGAAGUACAACAUAGAAAAUAAAAAAAAACCUGAAACCGGUGAAGAAACAAAGAAAAUGGAAGUAUAACAAAGAAAAAGGAAAGACCAAAAAAACCAGAUGAAAAAUAGAAAAAAAAGAUGUAGCUAACGAGGGAACCGAUCAAGCGAUCAACUUGUGAAAAAUGGUCCGGCCUGUUACUGUAGUGCGCAGGAAAAGCUUGAGGCGAGAGAAGCUUCUAUCUUGCCAGAAGCGAGAUAUAGCUGCUGCCUAUGCGAGCCGGUGGUGCAACCUAGUUUUGGGAAACUUAGAGCAACUCUAGCAGAUCCUGUAAUACCCCGCCGGCCCUUAUAACUCCCAACGUUUUGAAGGAUCUGCUCUUUUUUCCGCCCGAGCAGAUCCUGUAAAAAAGGCCCGGCCCAUAUUUUUUUAAGGUGGGCCGUAUUUUCUCCCCACUGCCGUUAUAUUUACCAGAUAGAACUUGAUUUAGGGUUUACAUCCGGCAUUUCCUCCACCAGCCUCGGCCAUAAUUGCACCUACUUCGGCAACAAAUCCUCCCUAGUCCAGUGCCUGAUUCUCACGCGCACACACACUUUCCGAUCCAUGGCCGGCAAAGGUCGUGGGUGUGGGGCCGCGGCGGCUCACCGUCACAUAAGUGCCCCCUGCACGACACCGAGGCCAGUAGCUCCAACCGCCCUCCGGUCGAGCCGUGGUGCUCGAAGCAGGCCAAUGAGUGCGACGCCCUCUCCCUCAGUGGCGGCCGGAAACCCAAAAAGCAUGGAUGAGCUUUCACGAGGUCAGUGACAUGCUUUGGCCCACCACCAAGUUUCUCCUUGAGGCGGAGAUAGAAAAUCCAAUGCCAGGAUUUUUCAACCCAACUGCCAGUCAGCCGGGAAGUCAAUGGGAAAUUGAUCCUGGCGCCUCCUUAAGCGGCCAGCAUCGGACAUGGCCUAAGCGGUAUGUCCAAACUACGUGAUGGUGCGGUGAGUGCCGGUGUUUCGAGGUCAUAGGGACGGUGGAGUAGGGCUAUGAGGAGUGUAGAGAAUAGGUUCGAUAAGGAGUGUAGAGAAUAGGUUUGGUGCAACUCACAGUAUAUUCAUCCGGUGCAUAUGCACGUACGUAUAUAGGUACAAUGGGUGGCUAGGUCCUCAACUAUGCUUUGGGAAACAACAAAUGCAGGGACGCCAAGUACCUUCAGUAGCAGACUCAAUGAAAUAUCACGUCGAGACACACCAUACAUUAUUGCACUGAUCCAAAGCAUCUAAGAAGUACAAGUGAUAACAAACCAUCUUAGUUUCAUGCACUAUCUACACCCAAAAUGAUAGCGCAAAUCACUGCAAGCGCAUGGCAUCCAUCCUGUUGUUGACAUUGUGAUGGGGAGAGUUAGAGUAGUCCAGACCUGUCAGGGACAGCCUGGCCUCACCUUUGGUGCUUGCGGUGCCCAAAUGAGAAGACUCGAUCCUUAUGUUCUUCGUGCCCAAAGUGUGCUUCUUUUCUUCACUCUCCACGUUGGCUCCUCUCGAAAUAGGCUUUCGCCCCGCUUUAUAAGUAAAGCAACAUCCGAAAAGAUACACGGUCAAACGAUACAAGAUGAUGAGAUAGCCCUCUUACAAACCCGAUCCUGAGAUAUCCGGCACACACAGAACGCACGCGACUACGCUACCAACAACGAUGUUCUUCCAUGUUAUCUAGUGCCUUCUUGCCCAUGUCUUGUUGAAUUUCCAGCCCCCUGUCUUGUUGCACUUCUUAGAGCCUUGUCCUUAACAGGGUUACAUGUCGCAGUCAUCUCCUUUGGAUUCUCAUCAUGGUCGCACAUAUGCUCCAUGCUGUUUAACUUCUCUUCACAUGACUUAUCAUGUUUACCAAGGAGUACCCUGAAGCCAAAAAAAAAAAAUCAGGAAAGAUCAACGUUACUUAGCUAUGAGUUACCAACAAGAUAUAUGCAUGUGAGGUGCAGAUGUUGUUGAUACAUAUAAAUAGAGUCCUGUUCACCCAUUAAGAGAAUAUGGUCUUUCACAUUCCAGAUCUAGGAAUAGAACUUUAAUUUCCUGAAGCAUUUUAUACACUGAUUUGGCUGUUAAGAGCCCAUCAACACAUUAGACCGGUGACUUCAAAACUUGCUUAACAAACCGUGAAACAGGGCCAAUUCCUUUCCCAUGGUAUUUAUUUUAGAAUAAAAUACAAUGCCUUUACUACAUUCAUUUUACCAAACAAGAAAAGAGGCUACAGUGGCAUUUUUACUGAUCCUUCACACUAGACAUUACCAAAGACUAUGCUGAAAUUUUCCGACAGUUAAAUUGUUUAUAAGAGAUCUCAAGUCAGCACAACAACAAAAAAAGAUUCAUCCAAACGCACAUGAAUUUAAAUUGCAGAUCAUAUAUACACUCAUGCCCUAGCUAAUCUAUUGAAUUUAACCAAAACUGAGCAAUUAACCAAACAUAUCAAUGUUCCUUAACUAGGAGUUACCAAUUAGAUAUAUGCAUGCGAUGCUGUUGAUGCAUAUACAAUUAUAAAUAGAGUCCAGUUACCCCAUUAAGAGAAUUCGGUCUUUACAUAUUCCAGAUCUAGCAAUAUAACAUUAAUUUCCUAAAGCAUUUUAUUACACUGAUUUCGCUGUUUGAACCCAUCAACACAUUAGGGAGGUUACUUGCUCCGAAACUUGCUUAAUCAAACGUGAAACAGGGUCGUUUCCUUUCCAAUGGCAUUUAUUUUAGAACAAAAGAUAUGCCUUUACUACAUGCAUUUUAGCAAACAAGAAAAGAGGCUACAGUGGCAUUUUACUGAUCAUUCACUCUGGACAUUCCCAAAGACUGCUGAAAUUUUCUGAGAAAUUAGACACGAAAUUGUUUACAGGAGAUCUCAACUCAGCACACAAAAAACAAAAAACAGAUUCAUCCAAAUGCAACAUGUAUUCAAAUUGCAGAUCAUAUAUACGUUCAUGCCCCAAAUAGUCGAUUGAAUGUCACUGAGAUUGAACGUUUAACCAAACAUAUCGAGUUAGCUAGUUUGCUUUAAAACAUUCAUACCUGUAUGAAGCAGCAGUCAGCAAAUAGUGUACAUAAACACUGAGGCUGUAACUAAGGAUAGCGACCAAAGCUCAUCAUCAACCACUGGAACAAGAUUGACAGAAUACGGCAGACAGCGCUGAUCACCGGAGAAAUCAUCAGGCAUGGGAGAAGAGACGCAAGUAGAGAGACCAUUGGCUCUUUCAUCAGCACUUUACGCAUUGGUACAUCUGCAACAUAUGAUAACCAAACGGCAACAUGUAUCCAACCGACGUAUGAGAGGAGAAAGACAAUGUCAAACUCAUCGGUGAUGUCGUUUGUAAAAAUGAUGGCCGCCAUGGAAGCGGUCCAGAUCAGUGUCACAAUGAACGCGGCGACAGGAAUCAUAUUGGCGAUCAUGUACGCCCUGUCCUUGCCGUGGUGGCACGGCUGGGGCAGCUCGCCGUCGAUGAUGGCCCGCUCGGUGCCCAUGCGCAAGCGGUGCGAGGCCAGAGAGUAGCCAAGAUAUGUGGCGGCCCAUGCCAUGGUCAAGUGCAGGAUGACAAUGGCGGCGCGCGAGCCAAUCUGACCAGCACUGAAGUAGGAGAGGAGAAGGCCAUAGGAGAUGCGACCAAAGUCGGCGUAAAACGAGCAGCUCCGCCGGACGCAGAGCUGGAGGAGGAAGACGUAGGAGCAUAGAGCGGUUGCCAGGAUGCCAACCGGGGUCAUUUGAUGCCCGUGGAAAAUCACCAAGAGCACAACGGGAACGGCCAAGGACAGCACCGCCAUGGCAGAUAGGGACAGCAAAGCUCCCGCCACCUGUGCACGGCGGGCCGGCUCCAGCUUCACAAAGCGCCGUCGCCAGGACGUGUUCUCAAGCUCAUCUUCAGCGACCACGGGUUCGACUCCGAUCGAGCGGAUGCCGGCGAGAUCGUCGGGGCCAACGCUGGGCCGGGAAAUUGUGCUGGAAGAGGAAGACAUAGCACCACCACCAAUUCUAUUUUGCGGCGGGGGAAGUCUGGGAUUUUUGAUCGGGCUGGCAAAUAUGUGUGGUAUAUAUACACAUACACAGCCACCGCAAAUUCCAAUCUAAACCUGCUGGACUCCAGUGUCCAAUACGAAUUCAGUUUUGCUAAAGCACAUCUAAGUCAUAUGCCAUUGAUCUUACAUUAAGAUUCGUGUGAAUAUUUUCUUUCUCUUUUGUCUUUUUCUCUUUAUACUUGAUUCACUCACUUAGAUGUGCAAUAAUUAGAGCACAUCUAGAUGUGCCCUAGACACACCCGAACAAAUUCUGCACAGCCACCAAAUCCUAGACUAGGCCACAUGUACACAUACUAUGGAAAUCCCGAUCGUUUAUCUCUUUUCCUUAUAUAUAUAUCCUGGGUUACCAAGAAUCCCCGAUUGACUGAUCAUCAUGAGUCAGGCCUCCUUUCCCUUCCCACAAAACCUCAACCGGUGCUGCACAAAAAAAGGAAAAACAGAACCGAAUCAUACAGUAGCUUGGAAGAAUCUAAACCAAACCAGUAUUUUCCUUUAUAGACCCCGAUAUGGCGCUGACGUUCGGUCUGGGAGACCCCCGGACCGAACAACUCGUUCGCUACGAGAGGGAGAUCGACCGAAC